rnacentral:lncRNA from 1 species
CACAAAAUUCACCUCCUGAACAUGUACUAAAGGACAAUAUUUAUUUAUUGAACAUACAUAUAGAAAUCCAGAUCUAUACCUUUUAAUGGUUUCAGACACUUGCACUAGCACAGUGUCACAACAAACAACCAAGAAAAGCCAUAUGGUGUUCGAUAUUUAUUCAACAGGAGGAUUCAACAGUCAUAGAACUCUAUGGAAACACAAACCCACCAGUCCACAUACCGUAGUAUAAUCACGCCAUCUUCGGCGACAGCCUAAACCAAAGCCCAAAUAGUAUGAACCAUGAGCUCCGAUAAUUUAAGAUGCAAAAACAAAGAAACCCACACAGAUAAAAGCUGGAAAAGACAUGUAGAUUUGCUAAAUCUAGCAAAUAAUCGGACCAAGAUGCUUCAAUUCCCCGAGAGAAGAUGAGAGAGUGAUGCGGAAUAGAAAAGCAGCCUUUCACUUCACCCAUAAUAGAAUAAUAUUAAUGGGAAUGAAAGGUAGGGUUUCUUCCUCUUCAGUGAGCCCAUCUUCUCUUUCUCCUCCUCUUUGUGGUGCUGGGAAGUAUGGUGAGGUGGUUGGUGGUGUGGAGAUGAUGAAAGUGAGGGAUUAAUAAUGAGGGGAAGAGGGGAGAGAACAUGAUGAUUGCUGCAGUGUGUUUUGCGUUGAAUGGAGGGAUAUAAAUCCAAAGCAUAGCGUGCUUCCUCUGAGGGGUUUGUUGGGUUCUUAUUCACAUGGAGAGAUAAUCAUACCAUGAAACCCCAUGACACCAUCCUUUUUCUGGUUCCUACCCCAAAAGAAACUCUUCAUUAUAUCCCCUACUUAUAAAGACACCCUCUACUUGACCUUUUGUGUGUGUGUGUCAAUAUGUCUCAUUAAAAAAAAAAAAAAAACCCAAAAUUUUCCUUUAUUUUGAAUCACAGGUCUAAAAUAUUUUUAACUCAUUUUUCCUUGUGCAUAUGACUGACUCACUGACUGAAGUCUGAAUAUAUAUGGAUACUGUUGAAGGUCGUUACUGCUGUAAACACUGUUGAUAUCAAUGAAAAGCACGAUCCGGAGUUGGGAGUCCUGUGGACCCGUGAGAGACUGUAGUCUGUAUGAGUAUAAGACAGAGGAAUCGGAUUCUUUAGGAGAAUAAGCAAAACGGGAACUGCCAUUAAGCUGCGCCAUAAACAAUCAAUUUUGAGGGUAUGUUUAGAUGAGAAAGCUUCCCCAUUUUUCACAACAUGUUCGUUUCAGAAUAAUAUGCGACUGGAAAAGGAACCAUCCUCAGACCUUCUCUUCUGCCUGUGCAUAUAACGCCAAGGGAUCCUAUUUUUCAUUUUCACCCCGUGUCUUUUCAGUUUUCACACUCCGUGGACCCAAUAAGCUUAGGGAGUUUUCCAUUAAAUAUUGAUGAUUAUGGAGAUGAUGAUAACGAAGAUUAUGGCACUGGGAAUGGUGACAGAGUCAAUGAUGAUCAUGUGGAUUACAGCAAUGAUGACUUCUCAAAUUCAUCCUCAAAACUCCAGCUAAUAAAUGGGGUCGCAGCUAGGGAUUGUUUGGGAAACAAGUGAGAUGCCUAUUUUUUAAGCUAUAUAUUUGAUUAAAAGGGUGAAAUAAUAACCUUUCACCUAUUUUAGUUAAAAAAAAUUGAUCAAGUUUUAACCAAAAAAGAAAAAAUACUCUUCAUUUUUCAUCUAAAAAAACAUUUUUUAAAGUGGGUUUUAAUUCAUUAAAUAUGAAAAAAGAAACCCUAAAUUUUUUAAAUAAUUUGAAAUACAUUUAUUUUUUAGUGAAUCAUUUAAUUAUUUCCCAAAAUACUCAUUUGAAUUAUCAUGUCAUUAAUAUCAAUUAAUAAUUAGACUUUUCCACGUAAAUAUUUCCCUUCCUUUUAGAUAUUUAUUCACCCCGUAAUUUUUUUUUUCUUCUCUCCAUCAACAAACAUUCCAUAGGAAAAAUGAGAUAGGACAUUGCUUUAAUGAAAUUAUUUUUAAAGAGACCUUGGAAAAAACCAUAUACCUUAUUUCCUACAAAACUCAAACUCAUCCACAGUCCAUUAGGGUUUUAUUACUUUUAAUGUUCACGCUUUUCAAACUUCCUCAUUUUUACUAUGGGGUGUUUGUUUAUGGAGAAAAAAAAAUCUUAAAUUUUCUAAUGAGAUGUUCGUUCUAAAUGGAAAAAAAAUCCCAAAUAAUAAUAAUAAUAAAUAUCUAAAAUAAAAGAAAAUAUCUACUAGAGAGUUUAGUUGUCAAAUGAUGUUAAUGACAUAACAAGUUAAAUGGGCAUUUUAAUAAAUAAUUGGAUGACUCAUUAAAAAAUGUAUGUAUUUUAAAUAGAUAAAGAUAAUAUUGAUUUAAAAUAUUUGAGGUUUUUUUUCUAUAUAUUUUCAUAUUAGUGAAUCAAAACCUACUAUUUAAAAAAAAAAAAAAAAUCUUACAUAAAAAUAAUGUAAAUAUAUAAAUACGCUUAUGUAAAAAAUAAAUUAAUUUUUAAGUUCAAACGUAAGAGAAGUUAUUUUUACAAAUUUAAGGGUCUAUUUAGUUAUGUUUUUUUAAAUUUGUUUUUUAACAUUGGUUUUUAUUCUUUAAUAAAAAUAGUUUUUAAAAACAAAUUUUAAGAAAUAUAACCAAAUGGACCCAUGUUUCCUUCUAUUUUUAAAAAUAAAUGAAAACAAUUUUUUCUUAUUUUUUAAAAAUUAUUCUUUAUUUCACUUUAUUUUUAAAAAUUAUUUCUACAAAACAACGAUAAAACAGUAUUAAAAAUUUGUAAAAAUAGUUUUUUAUUUUUAAAAGUAAAAAACCAUUUUAAAAUCAUACAACCAAUUAGAGUCUUUGACUAUUCCUCCUAAUAAAAAGAAUUGAAGAUUGAUCUCAAAAGAAACAUAAAGACCGAGAAUAUUUUGAAUAAAUGUUUUUGAGUUUUUGAAAAUAAUUUUUUAAACUUAUUUUUUGAAAACAAUUAAGAACCAAACGAAUUUUCAAAGGUAGCCAUAAAUUUUGAAAAUUUACUUUUACAACUAAUAUACCAAAACAAUCAUUGUGUUUAAUUUUCAUUUUUCAAAAUGAAAAAUUCUUAAUAAUAACAAUAAUAAUUUUUUAUUAUUAUUAUUUUGACUGUGGGUAAAACUCUUUCAUACCGAUACUACGCAUAUUUGAAAAAGCACUGACUUCUAUUAAAAUCUGGGAUCACUUAAAAAACAAUGAUAGUGUGUCGGCUCCAUCUAGCUAGUACGUAUUCAAAUCAUGAUGAUAAUAGGUGCACCGUAGCAAAUUUUGGCAUAAAGUAAAAAUGGUUUUUCUAGUAAACUGAAGUUGCUUCGAAGUAAAGGUCGUGAGAAUUGGUGCAUCAGGAAAGCACUUUUUCAUAUGCUCCAUGAUUAAAAUUCACAACCAGCUCUCUCAGAGGAGAUUAAAGGGCAGGGAAAAGAAAUUAAAGUCACCCCUUCAAUCCUCUCUUAGUGACUUUAGGUUUGACCCUAGUAAAGUUUCCACUUCCAAUGGAUCACUUUUCUACUUUUCUUUCUUUCUAAUCAACUUCUCUUUUAGGAUUCAGGCUGGUCUAGAGGCCAAUUACAACACACAUCCGCAUAAUCUCAAUGUCUCGGAGGAGUGCUUCUGUCUUUUCAUUGACAAAUUAAACAGUGCCAUGGAUCUCUGGCUUUAAAUAAGAACAAAAACAAAUAGCAAUCUUCUUUACAGUUAGUGGAGACAGUGCCCCAUGGCGCCUUUUGGUAAUGCCCACCAAAAAGGUGGAGGGCAAGGAAAGCUGAUGGGGAAGUCGAGUGUGUGUGGAUAUUGGGUGAAUAUUCAGACUAUGUCUUGUGGGGCAAAAUACCCAUUCUUACGCUCGUCUCACGUGAGGCUGUCCUCCCAACUUACUUCCUCAUUUCGGAUAAUUUUUAAUAUUAUUUUUAAAGGCAUCAAAGUGAUUCAAUUUUUUAUUCAACCAUGAAGAAAAAAAUACAGAGCCGUAAGAAAAUAUUGCACUAAUUUUCAUAUUAUUUGAACUUGGGGUUAGUCCACAUGAUAUGAACUUAAAAGUCAAAGGAUAACUUUUAACAUAGGACUUUUACAAAAAUGUAUUGAUAUUUGACACACAUUAAAAUGAUUUAAGUUUUAGUAAGAGAAGAACGUGAUUUGAAAUUUUUGCGGGUGGCCCGACACGUGGUAAAACCCAUAUGAAGAGCGUGUCUAGCGUGACGCAUGAGAAGCAAUUUCCUCUAAAUUGCACAAAUCAUAUUUAUAUUUUAAAUUGAGUGUCGAAAUACAACUUUGAACAUUUGAAUGAUUUGGAUUCAAAAGUCAGUCGUCCAGAUGAUAGACUUUUAGAAUUCAUCAAAGUAUUUAUAUAAAAGGCAUAUAUAAAACAUAUAUUUUAGUGAAUUUAAUGGAUAGGAAAUUCUUCAUCACUAAAAAAUGUUUAUUUUUUAAAAUUUUACAAUAUUAGAAAUGGUAAUAUAAUUUUCAUUUUAAAAAAAAACCUGUAACAAGAGCUUAUGAAAGGAUCUUAGAAAGGUUGUACUCAUUUUUUUUAACUUAAUGUCUAUUGUGUAGUGUUCUACCUUUGCAUGAAAAGUGAGUAAUAAAAAUUCAUAUAUGGAAGGCUUACACAACAAUGCUAUUCAAAUUUUUUUUUGAGGGCAUAGACUUGAUAAACAAGCAAAAUUUGAAGCGAUUGGUGGGUUACCUAGGUACCUCUAUGGCCUUGAAUCAUACAAUAUUAAGUGGAGCGUGGAGUUGUUGUAAAAUAAUAUUAAAGUCUAAUAUUAAGGCAGAGAUGUGCUUGUUGAGCCUAAGAAAAUGGAUAACAAUACUCGAAGAGUGAGUGGUGAAGAGUUAUAUAUGAAAGGUUUGUACAAUAACAUUAUCAAAGUUUUUUUUCAAAAAUAAAGGUCUAAUAAAGAAAUAAAAUUGGGUAUCAAUAAUAUCGAGUGAAGAGUGGGAUUGUGAUAGAAUGUAAGGGGGAUGGAUUGUAAUGUCCCACGCCACCCCGAAAGUAAAUGGUGAAGAAUCAUAUAUAGAGGACUUAUAUAACAAUAUUAUUAAAACUUUUUCUUUAAAGGUAAAGGUCUAAUAAAGAAGCAUAAUCGAAACCCAAAUCUAAUAAUAUUGGGUGGAGAGUGGAUUGUUUUUUUUUUUUUUUUUUUUUUUUUUUCUAUUUAUUGCUUAUUUUUAACUUUUUUUUAUUAAAUAAUAAAUAAAAUAAUAAUAAUAAAAAACAUGAUAUUUAAUACUAUUCAAAUGUUAGGUUGCCUUUCUUUGAUUUAAAAUCAAUAAUCAUUCUCCACCAUGAACUUUGGUAAACCUCCAUAAGUGACAAACAAAUAAUCAUUAAAAAUAUGAAACUGAGAAUUCAUCACCCAUAGGAUUCUUUUCUCACGCAAGCAAUAUUAUGGUGGAGUGAUUAAUAAUAAACACUAGCUUUUAAAUAGUAUACAAAGCACAAUAAUUAACGUAUUUUUUAAUAACAAAUAAAGUAAUUCAAUUUUCAUGUGGAGACAAAUACAUAGCCAUAAUCCGAAUAAGCAUAUUUUCUAGUAAUAAUGGGCUUUUUAUUUAAUGCAUGUUUUUAGGAUUUAGUAUCCAACUAAACCUUAACCUCUCAUCUAAUUUUGACAUUGUAAUGAUUAUAGUUACGUAUUUUGGUAUAAGAUUAAGUCACAAUCUUAGGUACAUGGCAUGGAUUGUAUAUCUUUUGCCUGCCCAAAAAUGAUGCACCAUGUUGCCCAUGGAGGAAUCGUAUACGACUAAAUUUUUCUGCCUUUCUUUCAGACUCGAAAUUUAAAUAAAUUUUAUGGCAAAAUCAGCCAAAACUGAUGGUGCAGACCUCAAAAAUAGUCACUCUCAGUAGACUUUUUCUAAACUAGGCCAAACAUUUCUAAAAACGUACCUACUAAUUUAGAAUUGGGCCCAUCUAACAACCUAGACAGAAAUUUAUGGUCCGCAACAUUAAUCUUGUCAAAUCACCGUUUGGUUGACUGCCGACCUUUUUACCUUCCUCAAAAAUUUUUAUCCCGAGUUCCAGGAAAUGUUAUUAACAUAUAUGGCCCCCAAAAGCGGAAGCUUCUAAGUAAGCCUCCACAAGGUAAUGCCAAAAUCAAGGCUUUUUGUUGUAGGGGAUAACAUAGAUUUAAAGCUAUAUUACUUUUUGAUAAAUGUAACUUAUGUAUUAAAAAAUGUGCCCUCUUGUUUUUUUAUGCCACAUCAAAAUCCACAGGCCUCAUCUUUUGCAAAACCGGAAGCUUCCCGAGGAUGCCUCCUCCGCUAGGUAUGUCAAAUCGAGGUUCAUUUCGAAGGGGAUGGGAUAAAUUAAAAUUUUAAUUUAACUUUUCUAAAUUCUUGCAUGAAUGUUGGAUAUUUACGAAAAAAAAAAAUGUGCAGUGUAGAAUUUUUAUGCCAAAUCAGAUCUCUGGUCCCCCUUGUUUUAAAAAAUGGAAGCUUCCAAGGAAGCCUCCCCAAGGUCAUGCCAAAUCCAUACAGGUUGUACAAGAUGGAAUAGUGUAGAUGGAUGUUACAUGGGUACAAAUAUGUAUAUCUACUGUAUUGUUUUUUAUGCCACGUCAAAUCAAUGGGACUCACUUGUGCAAAAGGUGGAAGCUUCAAGGAAGCCUCUACAAGGUUAUGACAUUCAAGAUUUCGGGCCUAAGCUUAUCAAGGAAGCCUCGAGGAGUCUUCCUCCGACAUGAUCGAGGAAGAAGAAGGGUGACCCAAUAACCAAGGAAGUAGAGAAAGUCUCCGUGCUGAGGUUUCCACAAGUCACCUAAAAGACCCUCAAGGACUAAAAUUAACGAAGAAGGAAAUUUGGCAGCUGAUCCACAACUUAAAGCAUAGUGUCAGAUAAGCCAAUUAAUAUAGACCAAUUUGAUCCGACCCGGCCAAACUCAUCUUCCUGUCUACGCUUGGUCAUGCCCAGCCAGACCCGCUUGCGUGAAUGUGCAGGUCGAGUCUGCUUCUUUGCAUUGGGCCAAUUGGUGGUGCGAGCAUAGGCUUAGGGGUGCUGCUGAUACACACAAAUUUCUCUUUAAAGAGAAAUUAUAUAUGAUUAGGUUAAAUUUUUAUUGAUUUAAAAAUCACGAGUAUUCUCUAUUUUGUCUUCUAAUUUUUUAUUUUUUAUUUACUAAUUAAGGGUUUGAAAAAACUUGAUGCCGAAUAACUUGAACUUAAUUUGGAUAUUAAUUUAAUUUAAUUUUGAGUCUUGACUUGAUUAAGGUCUUAUCUUGUGUUGAGUCUUGGCGUAAUUUAGACCUCAACAUAAUAUCCUUAGCAUGACUUGAAUCUUAACUUGAAUUGAGUUUUGGUGUAACUUGAGUUUUGACUUGGCUUGGAUUUGACUUCAUUUGAACAAUGUCAAUUAAAAGUUUGAGCAACUUGAUCUCAAAUCAAAGAGAUCUAUAUAGAUUAUUCGAAGAUACUUCAAAGAAAUUGAAGAUUCUUUCAACAAUAGUUAAAAGUGCCUUCUAAAGGUUUAAAGAAGUCUUAAAUCUCCCUUAAAGAGCAUUACUACAACUUUUAUCUUUUAAAUUACUUUAAAAGCUUUGAAAUUAAUUCUAUUUUUAAGAAUUUGAAACACAAUAUUUGAAUAGUUUUCUAACUAUUUAAAACCAUUAUUAAAAUAACUAUUUUGAGAAAUUUGAAGACCAUAUUUGAUCGUCAUAACCCUUUGAAACAUACCCGUAGGCUUCAUAUUAUCAAUUGGUUAAAGCAUAGUGGAGUGUAGAGGUUUCAAAUUAAUCAUAAUUAAGUAUGAAGUUGCAAUCCCUUUGUCCACAUCAGUGAUACUUUUGCCACUAGUGUCAUCCUCAAAUUCUUUAACAAACGUGUUCAUUUGUAUUUGUUUUUAUGAUAAGCACUAUAUUAUGUACUUGUGUAGCUAAUUCCUUAAAAGUUUUUAGUUUGAUACAUGUAAUAUAGUUCCUUGGUUAUAAAUUUCAUUAGAAAAACUUUCAUACAAUUUACAUUCAAGAUUUAAAUUUCUUUACUUUAUAUAAUCAAUCACUAGUUCAUAUUUUUAUUGUUUAAUAUUGGUAUUUCAAACAUGCUGAUGCAAUGUCAACUAACCUAAAAACUAUUAAGGAACUUUCCAUUUAUUCCAAAUUAUCGAUAAUAUUGAUUUCAAGAUUUGUAUACCAAUCAAAUUUAUAUUCUUUUAAAUGAGCAAAUAAAUUACUUGACUAAAAGGCUCAGUUCAUUUGUGAGGAAAAACUCAUUUGAAAAAGCUUGAAUGUUUUUUGUGGCAUGUUUUCUUCUGAAACAUAUUUUAAGCUUAUCUUAAGAUGCAUCUUAACGUGGAUAUGUGAUUUCAUUUGUUGAUCCUAUUACAAUUCCAAAUUUGUGAAAAAAUGUAUCGAUCUUAAAAUCUUGCUCUUGAUUGUGUUAUAUAAGUUCUUUUAUAGUUCUUUAUUUGUUUGAAGAAUGGUGUGCGUACAAUCAUAGUUUGAAAAGGUGCAGAAGCCUUCUAAAGUUUAAGUGCAAGAUGCAACACAAAGUAUGCAUUUGAGUGAAGUAAAAUGCAACCUAGGAUGCAUAUCGAGUUUAUAAAGUAUGAUUCGAAAUCUAAUCCAAUUAAUAAAAUUUAAGAUUCCACACAUUUAAAAGAAAAAUUCAAUAAAAAAUAAUGAAAUUAUAUACAUUUCAAUGUAAUAUUAAAAAAUUUAAGAAUUAAAUGGUUUAAAAAGAAAGAGUAACACCGACAAGAUAUGAUUCUUCAAUAAGACAUAUGUCUUGACAAGCAAAGUGUUACGAUUAGAAAGUAAUUGCUCUUUAAGUCUAUACGUGUUUAAAACAUCCCUUUUAAAAUUAUGGGUAAAAUAUCUACUUUUUCCUCUAAUUCUUUCGACUUUCGGUAAUAAUUUUUUUUACACCUUCUAGGCUAUGACCAAAAGAAAUGACAUUAGUAGACUCGAGAAAAUUUUAAGGUACUGAAGCAAUAUGGUACCAAAUUCAAAAUCUAAGACUGUUGAAGUAUAUGAUUAAAUAUAGAGCACUAUAUUCAUCAUUUGCAUAUGGUUAAAUAUAAAGUAAUGGGCAUUUACUAUGUGGCAUUUUUUAAUAGGAUGAGACUUUUCCAUAGCCAAAAAUAUCUUUUUGGUAGCAUAGUGGCAACAAUGAUGUAACACAAAGCAGAGAGAUACAACCAUUCGCUACUUUCUCUCACUUUCUAAUCGAAAAAGUCCCACUAAGGCCUAGGGGUAAGAAUGAGGUCAAGUAGUCUGGUUUUUUGGUCUCCAUUUGACUUCCACAACAAUUAUUUGCCAAUUUCGAUAUUUUGAUUCGUUCCGUCGAAGGCAUUUUGAUGAUAAUUGAUUGUUUGGUGGCGUGUUCUGUAGGGAUCAGAGCUUCAUCUCAAGCCUGCAAAUAUUCCCUCCAACACUACUUGCAGCAGCAACUUUAGGCACAAAAUCACAAUGAGAGAUGAUUUCGCUUUCGCUCUUACAGGGAGCGGUGGACAGAUUUAACAUAGCCUACAAUGGCCUGAAAGGGUCGGUUGGGUGAGGCCUCUGUGCUAGCCAUUCUUCGACCCAACUUACUUAGGGCCUGGCCCAGCCUUUGAUCUUCCAAUAUUUGAGAAGGUGCUUAAGGUAUUUGCAGUUUUAAAAAAUAUUUUCUGCAUUUGUAUUUUAAUACCAAAAUUUAGGAUAGCAAUCAUGCCACGUUGAAAUGUCAUGUAGGAAGAAUAUUGUGUGACUGACGUCCUCGAUUUAUGAGUGAUUUUUUUUUCCACGAUUUUUGGAUUUUUAAUUUUUAAUUUUUAAUUUAUAUCAUUAUUUUAUUUUUAUUUUUUCAUAUUUAUCACGUUAAUUUUUAUUUUUAAAUAAAUUACAAUUUUUUGUGUGUACAUUUACGUUUUAUUUUUUAUUUUAAUUUUAAAAUAUUAAAAAGUAAAUAAAACUAUUGACAAAUAACUAAAAUGCAAAAACAGUUAAUAAAAAAAGUAAGUUUUUAAAUAUUUUAUAAAAUAUAAGGUGGUGUUUGUUUUUUUACUUAAUUCUAAAUAGAACCUUAAUACUUAAUAGUAUUAAAUAUUAGGUUGUUUGUUUUUGUAGUAUUUUAUUUCUAUUAAGUAUUAAAAAGUAAAAAAAACCAUUGCGUUAUUUUUUCUAUUUAGAAAAAGCCACAUAUUUUGGCUUUUUCUAUUUAGUAAAAAAUUUAUAAUAAGUCAUGAAAAAGUAAAAAAACAAACAACCUAAAUUCUAAAACUAAAUGGUUUUCAGUAAAAAGCCAAAAAAACAAACACCACCAAGUCUUAUAUAAAAAUUAAGUUUAUAAGAUAAAUCAUAAAUGCAACUUUCGAUAAUUCUAAUAAAAUAUACUAAUGUCAGGCAGAUUUUUUAACCAGACUUUUUAUUUGAACUUUGAAAUAAAAUAUUUUAUUUAAAAGUUUUGAAUGAUUUAAUUUUGCCUUUCAUAUAUAAAAUGUUUUAUUUUUUUUAAAUAAAUGAACAUGUGGUAAACAAUUUUAAGAUCGUUUUAGAAAAAAAAUUAGGUAAUUUUAAAUUGAUUAAAAAAUUCAAUAAUUUUAAAUAGUUUAAAAUUAUUUAUUUUCAAGAUAUAUAUUUUAACUAGUUUAAAAUUAAUUUAUUUUCCUAUUUAUGCUUAAUUAAUGUAACUAAUUUUAUCAUUUUAUACAAUUCACAUUUCUUAUGUACAUAUAUUAUAUUAUUAACUUUAUAAUUUUGCCAUAAUAAUUGCCAUUCAAUCAUUUUUUUUUUUACUAUGUUUCCUAAAAUUUCUAUAAAAUAAUCCAAUAACAAAUGUUCCAUCCGAUGCUUUCAUCUUUUAUCAUUAGAUGACAAAGCAUAAGGUUUUUUAAGCUACACCGCUAGACGUGGCAAAGGAUAGUAAUAGAUAAGUCUUUUGAUUAUUUGAUGAUAACGAAACGAGUUUGAAAUUUAAAUGAUAAUAAUAAUAAUUUUUAAUAAAAUAAUUUAUAAAAAAUUAUAAUAUUUUAAGUAUUUAUAAAAUAUAUUUAUUUUAUAAAAGUAAAUUAUAAAAAUGUGUUUACUUAUAAAUUAUAUUUCUUUGAUAUAAUUAAAAAUUUUAAAUAAAAUCAUAAUCCACUUUUUCUUUCCCAUCCUGCCCCUGCUUUAGGUUUAGGAUAGGGUGAAAAUAUAUUUAAGUUAAUUGGAGUAUGGUCAUGAUUAGUCAUGAUUACAUCCAUAAUUACCACUAAACAAAGAUUAGUUGUUAAUAAUGUGACAGCUAUAGUUAGUUGUUUUACAACUCAAACCAUUUUAGAUCUUAUGAAAAUCUUAAAAAAAAAUUAAGCUAAUUCAACAUGAGGUAAUCAUCCUAUACGAUAUGUGAAUAGGGUGAUGGUUUUUUUUUAUAAAUUUAAACUAUGUGAAUGCAAAAAACAAUUAUAAACAAAUAUAUAAUAAAACAAUAUAAAGACAAUUGCAUGUAAAAGAGUAAGGAAGAGAGAAUACAAAUAUAAGAUUUUUAUAGUGGUUCGAUACAACUUGACUUACGUCCACUUUCCUCUAACUUCAAUCACAAGUUUGAGGUUCUACUAAUUUAAGGUUUCCAACACAAGCCUUCAAUUAAGUAAUACAAUUGAAUUAUAGUUCCAAUAAACCAUUUUGGACUUUUGGCUCCAAAUACCCUUUAUAAUCCUUAAGAGAUAUAUCACUUUUGAACAACCCCUUAAAUGAUAUCCCACACUUAAAAAUCCCAAAACGAUACCCCAUGCUUAGAUUUUUCUUCUCAAAGAUUUACAAAUGAGGAUAAAAAAUAUUCUUACAAAAUUUUAGUACAAAACUUUAAGUUCAAAUGAUAUAAGAAAAUUAUGAUUGAAUGGUGUACUAAAAAUAUGCAAGUUUUUGAACAAGGUGAACUAAAAAAACACUCUUCUAAGGCUCAAAUAUAUUCAAGAAAGGUUUAAGAAGGUUAAACUAUUGAAACAAUGAAGAUUUAAGCUUUUUUAUAGAGGAAAAAUGUCAAACUAGCCAUUGGAGGUUCGUCUCAUGGAGCUCAAACUUGAUUGGUUUGCUAGCCGUUCGAAUUUAAUGCAUGACAAGUGACCAUUGGACUUCGACUAUCCCUUGACCAUCACUCAAUCGGUCCUCGACUUGUUGAACAAGCGGUUUAGAAGAGAGAUAAUGUUUUUACACCUUUUGACUGGUUAAACUAAAUAGGUUGAUUGGUUUCUCAUCUGAUUUAACUAGUUGAGUUGUUUGUGGUUCAAUAACCAUUUUUUUCAACUUUAAACAUUUUAAACAAGUUUGGAAAGCAUUUGACACAAAGUUUUAAUUAAAAACAUGAAAUCAUCCAAUUUUAAAAGAUUUAAAACAAAAUAACCAUUGGAUGAUUUUGGUGCAUAAAUAAGAAUGUAAUGUAUGAAAAACAUAGUGUACUAACAACCUUACAAAAAAAUUCUAUAAAGCUUAGGUCUUGAAAAACACUUUUCUUUGAGGUAUUUUCUUCUUAUUGAUUUUCCUUUGUCUUGAUUUUGUAUUUAUGAUUGUCACUUUGAAAAUCUUCUUACCUAAUCACAUUUCAAAUAUAAUUGUUAGUUCCAAAUCUUGUUUUAUUAUUAUCAAAAUCGAGAUUAACCAAAUUUUGGUUUCACAAAAACUAAUAUCCAAAAAGAAAAAAAAAGUUUUAAUGUCAAAAUUUUAAAAUUAGAACUCAUUAAUAAAAUGUGCUUUUCCUAAGGGUCUUCUUUGUAAAAGAAAAAUAAAAUAAAAUAUAAAUGUCAUAAAAUUUGAUUUUAUUUUUAUUUUUAUUUUUUUUAAAAAUAAAAAAAUAAUAUAUAUAUAUAUAUAUAUAUAUAUAUAUAUUUUAAAUAUAAGCAAAAAUAUUUAAAUUUAUUUCUAUCUUGGAUCUUGGACCUAUAACUAAAUGUGAAAGUUUACAUAAAUUCCGAUCAUAUGCAUUGUACAUAUCUAAAAAUUUUACAAACUUUUUUUAAAAUUGGCCGCUUAUUAUUUUGAAAGUAAGAUAAGGGGAUAAAAAUUAAUUAAUAUAUUUUAUCUAACACUUAUCAAAUUUUAAUAUAUUUUAUAUUAUUUAUUUUAUGCUAAGAUAAAUACAUGAAUAAAAAUAUAUGCAUGAUAUUGUGUUAUUUUUAUUUAUUUUUUAUUUCAUAUAUAUUACUUGUAAAAUUUAAUAUUUUGGUCACAAUUUAUUUUACUAUAGUCUAAUUGAGAUUGUAUGAGAAUUGUUUUAAAAAUUAUUUUUUAUUUUUGAAAAGCUUUUUUUUUUUUUUUUUUAAACUCAAAAACAUGUUUAAUAGUUUUUUUUAAUAAAAAAAGUUCUUGGAGAAUUAGUCUUGUAAAUGGAGUGUUUUUUAAGAAAAUAUUUAAUUAUUUUCACUUGUUUUUAAAAGUUAUUUAAAAAAAUAAUUAUACAAGAUUAAAAAUAUAAUACUAUAAAUAGAUAUUAAUUUAAAGGAAUAUUUAAAAACACAAAAAAAUAGGUUGAGAACGUUUUCAAUUCUCGAAAAGACUUUUGUUCUAAAAACACUAAAGAAUUGUUUUUGAAAGUUAUUUAAAAAACUUAUUGUUAAUAACUUUAAUUAUUCUCACAAAUUUUAUAAACUCUAUUCAUUUCUAACUUCAAUUUUAUUUUAUGUUUUUCUAAGUAGUUUUAUUCAAUUAGUACUUUUAAAUUUAUUCUUUUUGUUUAGAUUUUUUAUUUUUAUGAAGAAUAUACAUUUUAGAAAAAAAAUAAAUUUUAAUUUAGAUUAGAAUAAGGAAAAGUAAUAAGAUAAUGAGAAAUAUUUUUGGAUUCUUUUUAAGAUAAAAAGUAGAGUAAUAAGGGGAGAGAAUGAAGAAAUUUGGCGAAGGGGACUAAGGGUUUAUUUGGUUGGUGUUUUUGAAAAUUGUUUUAAAAGAUGGUUUUUAAAAAUUGUUUUUAGUAUUUUAAGAAACGAAAUUAAUUUUGGGACUGAAAAACAGUUUAUGUUCCAAAAAAAAAAAAAGAAGAAAAAAACACGUUUAAUUGAGUUAAUAAAAAAAACUUUUUAGAACAAAUAAAAUAAAAAACAUAUUUGAAAGUUUUUAUUUUAUUUUAUUUUUAGUUGAGUGUUUUUUUUCAAUUAACUUGAUAUUAUAAAUCUCCUUUCAUGUCUUUUCCUAUGAUUACAAAGGUUCAAAAAUGUUUUUUUAUCCAUUAGAAAUAGUUGACAGCAUGUUUAAGGUGAUCAUCUAUCAUAUCUUUUAGGAAUUAUGUGCCACUUUAAUAUUUACGUCAUUUGAGCUGUAUAUUUCCAUGAUAUAUUUCAACAAACUUAUAGAAUAUGGUUAAGAACAUGCACUGGUGGAGGAGGUCAAAUGCCAAGGGCACCAAACCUAGCCCUGAGUUUUCCAAGAAAACUCAUCAAGUCAAAGAAGGGCCAGUUGAUUGGCUUAGAGGGAACUAACCUCAAUUUACCACUCCAUAAUACAAAUCUAGGUAAAUUAGGAUCCCUAAAACAAGAUCAUCCUUCAAACCACUACCCACCUGCAACAAAACAAGAAUGCAACAUUUACCUACAAUAUAGAACAAUGUUUCAGGGAAAUAAAUUAUCAAUAACACUAGCUCAAAAAUUGAGAAAAAAUAGAAAAGGACAAAAUAUUUAAGCCAUACAACAAUAGCAACCCCAAAUUGAAAAACGUCAUGGUGAUGCUAGAGAAUGUAUUUAGCAUCAAUUUUGACAAAUUUGCAUAUAAUAAACAAAAGAAAAGUAGUUUUGCGCUCAUGUUAUUGUAGAUUUUGGUGGGCAUUGCAGGUAGAAAUGGUGUUUAUAAGAAGUAAUAUGAUCCUUUCAAUAGAGAUAAUAAUUGGGUUAAUACAGCCUAGGUCAUGCUCAAACCUUAAUUAGGACCAUGGUGAGAAUAGAAUCGGAGGGAUGGAAGCUAUUAGGGCCUUCUUUCUAGAGAUAGUCGUCCCCCUCCAUGGUGGUUACCCUUGACGCUAUCUCUCACAUUUGUCACAAUCACAUUGCUGCCUACAUCACCAUGCUUGGUGGCAAGAGCUCGAGUGAUAUAGAGGCUAUUGAUUCCUCUCCCGACGAUGACACAGUCCACUGGCAAGUAAUUAUUUUCAUUGCCAACCUUGGAGGAAGAAAUUGUAGACUCCCAGUCCCAGUGAUAGAGCAUCGAAAUUUCCAUGGCCUAGUGCAAUUGUUCUAAGUGUGUCUAGAGAAAAAUGGAAAAUUGCAGUGGAGAUUUACAGGAGAAAAAAGGUGAAGAGUGGGAGGGUCAAUGAGAAUAAGAGUGGGCAUGGCGAGGAAGAGAGUAAGAGAUGGUUAGAACAAGAAAUGUGAGAAUAGGAGAAGAAAGGAUUGAAAACACGAAGAGCAGAGAUGUUUUUAUUUAUUUUCUAAACAAUAAAAAAACAAGAAAAAGAAUUUUUUAUUGUUAUUUGAAAAUAGACAUUUAGAAAACAUGAAGAAUAGUGAAAACAAUGGGGCUACUUCCCAAAUGUGUGUGUGUGUUUUUUAUUCUUAAGAAAAAAAAAAUUCAAAAAACACCAACCAAAUAAGCCCUAACUCUUCCUUUUACUUGAUCUCCUCAUUUUUUAUUAAUCAAGGGAAAAUAUUAAAUAUUAAAAUUCAAUUAGUCACAAUACCUCUUUAGUACUAUUGCAAAAUUUUUCUUAUUUAGUAAAAAUAUAUAUAUUUUUUUGACAUAACUCAGUCCGCUCUUCUUAAAAACUUUAAUUAUUCACGUAAUCAUAUGUUUCAAAUGUUUCUAAUUGUUCAUAUUUUAAGAUCUACAAUCUGUUAAGACCUUUGUUGCAGAUCCUUUGCUUAAAAAGCUUAUAAAUCUUUAAUUGAAUAUACUAGGGUUUCUCAAACAAAGUGAUACUUCACAUCAAGUUAUUAAAUCCUUAACCAAGUGUUCAUUUAUGAAUGCUUAGUAAGGAUCUUGUAAUAGUCAAAUUCUAAUUAACAUGAAAUCCUAUAAACCAGUGUAAUGUACUAAGAAUGAAUAAGAAAACAUCAAAUUUAUAUAUUGGAAUUUUGAAUAAAUCAGAAAGACCAAGAACUUUUUCUAUCUUUUAGAUUGGUGGAUUCAAUUUAAUUAAAACAUCAUGACUUAUUGGAUAGUUGGAAUAGGAAUUAUAUUUCUUGAGAAAUCCAUGUGAAAAAUAAGUGUUAUUACAUGUUUAAUGAUUCCCAUGGUAUGGUAGCUCUUGGAAUUAAUUAGGAAAAGAGAUCCAAGAAUCAUUUAGGUUUUGGAAUUAGGAUAAAACAUCCAUGUUUAUUAGGUAUUUGAAUAGCAUAUAAAGCAAAACGAAAUAAACAUUUUAGUUUACAGUUAUGUAUCAUAAGACAUUAUCUCUAAAAUAUAUGAAUAAUUAUUAAAUUAAAAUAAAUUAUUUAGAUAAAUAAUAUUAAUUUGAUUUAUUUAUUUUGAAGAUAUAUUAUCUUUUGAAAAGCUAAACUAAAUAAUAAAAAUUGACAAUUCUAGUGUAGUAGGUGUUGAUAUUUAAAAAAAAAAAAAAACAAAAUAAGUAAUGAUUAAAAAAAAUGUAAAAGAUAAGUAUUGAAGAAAUUAGUUGAAACAAAGGAGAAUUAUGUUUUCAGGUUAAUCGAGUUUGAUAAUUAACCCAACAUCCUUAUAAGUUGCAUAUUUGAUGGAAAUGAUAUGUAAUAUUAAGGGACAAAAAUACCCCUUUCAACCGCCACAUCUCUCACACACACAUAUUGUAAUUGUGUGUAUAUUUGCUCUAUGACUUGGAGGCUUCAACAUAAAUGAGUAAAAAUAAUAUUAAAAAAAGAAGUAUGUUAAUCCUGAUUUCUUUUCACCAACCCAAUUGCUAUUUAUUUCUAGAUUUAUUUUAGGUUGGGUGCAAAUGUGUUUUUCUUUUUUAUUCAUAUUUUCUUCACAACAAAAAAAUAAAAUAAAAUAAAUAUUAGAGAUUGUUUGUUAAGUUGGGUUCCACUAUUCUCUUAAUCAUGCAUUGAAGGACUUUGUAAUAUUAAUGGUCAUUUUAUCCCAACAUUUUUUAGGGAAUUUUGAUAUCACCCAAUGUUUGGGAUUGUUUUUCUCAACCUACCUUGUUAGGUCCUCAUUGAAGCAUACAAGUUUUGCAAAUGCCUCAUUUUAAUCACAAGCCAAUGUAGCAUUCACAAUGCUAUCUAUAAGCAACCAAACAUCUUCCUUGUCUUUCUUUCCUUCAUUGUUUUGCUUACUGAAGAAGCUAGUAAAAUUCUCCUUCAAAUGACGAUAACAAUAUUUAUGAUUUUUCAUCCUAAACAACUCUAAAACACUAUGCAAAAUCUAUUUAAUAUAAUGACAACAUCUUUACCAUUAAGAAUCCUCUUUUAACUUCUCCAAGAACCAAUACCAAUCUUCAUAAUUUUUUGAACUUACAACACUAACUUCUAGAGGAAACAUUCCAUCAUCUACAUCAUAUGCAAUGGUAGACAAAAGAGUUCCCUUAUAUGGGUCGCUAAGGUGGUAAGAAUUAAUGACUAAUAUCGGUUGACAUCCCAUGAUGAAUCCUUGAAUUGAAAACGCAUGGGUAAUAAACAAUUUCAUAAAGUGCCCUUCAUUUGAAGUAUACUUUGCAAGAGUCCUCAGGUUAAUUUUCAUUAGCCUUUGGCACAACCAAGGCAAAAAUAGGUAGGAGUCACGAGGAGCACCAUAAAUGUACUCAUUCACCUUUCCUUUAAAGUGUCAUGUUUGGUUAUAUGUCAAGACUACUCUAUGCUUACGUGCAAAAUCUUUGCAUAUUUGACAAAGAAAAUAAUCUAGAGUUGUUUUAGACACUUCUUCAACAACAAUGACAACCCUCUUUGAAUGAACCUCCACUUAAGAUGAACAAUCAUUUUGAGCGAAGUGAUUAUGAUUAACUUGGCAAGUAUGGACUCCCAAAAUUUCAUUCCCUGCUACAAUGUGAGUUGUUAUCUUCAAGGGCAACCCUCAAUCAAACACUUUACUAACAUAUGUUUUGGUGAAUUCUUCAUGUACUUGUAUUGAAACCUCUUACCUAAUGACAUCAAGUAUAUUGCAUUACGGAACUAUUCUUCAUUUUUAAAUGUAUGACCUAACCCUAGUAAUACAUUACAAUACCAAUUCAAUUCUAAAGACAUGUACUCAGUUUUAGCACAUCGUGAUGUAAAAACUCUUGAUUACAUCAUAACAUCACAUAACGCAUUACGUGAUGCACUUGAGGAAGGAAACAUGGUAGGUGGCGUAGUACACAAAUACAAGAAAUAUAUUUAAUUCAUGUAUAAAUUUGAUGUUUACAAUAUUUUGGUCGAGUAUUCAUGUGAAAGAGCAUUACCCAUAUGCCAACUAUGUUAAUGGAAACUCACUAGCACAAGAACAUUGUUAGUGCUUUACAAUAUGCAACGAAAGAUCUAAUAUAACAUUUAGUGUGAAUAAUGUGAGCUAAUUCAUGCAUAAUCCUCUUGAUACACAUUAGAAAUCUAUUAAUAGAAUCACAUUAUAGGUUGCUCUUGAGGAAAUCUAAAGACCUGAAUUUAAUUGGCUACUCUGAUGUUGAUUAAGUAUCAAAUGUUGAUCACAAAAGGUCAACUAAAGGAUUUUGCAUUUACUUGAAGAAUAAUUUGAACACUUGGCGCUUGAAAAAGCAACGCAUAGUGUCUCGAUCAAGUAGGAAGGUUGAGAAUUGUAGUCUAGUGGUGUUGUAUGAUUUGGCUACAGUCAUUACUCAAGGAACUCACAAUUGAUCUAAGGUUACUACCAUCUUGUGUGACAAUUUGAUCUAGUCUACAAACCCAAUCCUUUACUCUCAGGCAAGGGUUGAACUUAUAUUGCGUUGAGAAAAAGUAAUUCAAAGUCCACUCAUAGUUCAACAUAUCUAGCAAUAGAUCAAGCAGCAGAUAUUUUUAUGAAAACAAUCUAAGCAACUUAUUUUCAAAGGCUGCUUGGCAAAAUGAAUAUUGUCCACUCACCUAUACAGUCAUUUUGUGGGUGGCAUAUUAAGGAAUCUAAUGACUCUGUUAAUGAAAACCUAAUAUAAGAAGCAAUGAUGGAGGCACGUGUCCAUGAUUAACUAUACAUCUUUGUUUUUCUCAAUGAAUAAUAUCAUGUCUGAAAACCAAAUGUUAUAGAACAUUUCCUUUGUUCUUUCCUUUCUUUUCCAGCAAUUUUUAUGGAACAUUUUAUUUUGUUCUUUCCUUUAUUUUCUGGCUGUAGUUACCCUUUUAUAAUUUUGUUGGUUGCUCACCUUUUAUAUGAAGAACUAUUGUAAUCCCUUCAAUGGAGGAAUGAAAAGAAACUUUCCAAAUAAUCCGUUUUCUAAUUUACUGCAUGUGAUUGCAUUCAAAUUUGUAGUGUCUAUUUCUAACUGAAGAAUGGCAAAACCUAAUUCUCCACAGCUGGAUUUGAAUUUGAAUUGUAGUCGUGGGAACUCGAGAAUAUUUCUUGGGAUUGUAGUCCUGGGAUUUUAAAGCCAAAUCCACCGAAAACACAUUGGAAUUAUGGCCGCCUAUGAUCCUAUCCUAAACACCAGGGUCCCAUUCAAUUAUAUGACCUCUAUCAGCUAAUGCUUCUCUAGCCUACUGAUUAGAGGAACCAUAUAAUUUGAUUGUGUUUGAAUAUGAAACCUCACUCAACGUCAUUUAAUUAAUCAAAUCAAUAUAUGAUCAGUCAUUAAUAAACUGUACAGAAUUGUAUUUCCAGUAGUCCUAAGUUUAGAAUGGCAAAGUCAUGUAACUUCAUUCAUGGGCAAAAAAAUUUGAUAAAAGAUUCAGAGUUCAAAGAUUGCCCAGACAUACCUUCGAUCCAGUGUCAUUCAAAGAGCUUUUGGGACACUGAUGAAAAGAUAAAUAGAGGUCCCAACGGUGAAAGAACUUAAGAAUGUAAUUAUCUUUGCCAAGAAAUAUACUAUGAUGGGUCAUGAACCCAUGGAAAAUCUGUGACAUGCAUAUUUGAUCCGUUUACAUUACCAUGGAAGUAUUUAGAAAGAGCUCAACAUGGGUUGCUGAUUUACCAGCCAUUGAUGAACUAACAGCUACGGCCUGAAUUACAUGCGCUAUAAGAAAGAACUUUAAUCAAUAGCUAAUCUAUUAACGUGGUAAAAUUAUUAAUAAUGCGGGCUUGUAUAAUAUGCACACAUAUCGUCACUGAUUGCAGUUUUGCCUCCUAACGUUUUUAUACCUGAAGUAUUGUUUUCCUUUUAUGACUGAAGAUGUACAUGACAUGCACUGGGCUUUCAGGCAUUCAUGCUUUGUUCUUUGAUGAGUAUCAACAAGAUUAUUAAUAGUUCAUAAAAAUUCUCAACAUUAAUUUACCACGAGCAUGUCCUUUUCCCUGAAAAACACACAUGAACACAUGCAGAGGCGAGCUGAAGAAUUCAGAUCUUUUAGUUCAGUUAGGACUUCAACUGAUCCUGAAACUCAUGGGAUACCAUGGAGGGUGUUUUCUAGCUGGGAGUUCCGCCUUUCUCUCUUCUGAUUAGACCAUAUGUAUUCGGAAUAUGGCCAUAAUUCUCACAUGGGCAAGCAUUAUUGGCGGUGGAUCAAUGCCAGCUAUCACAUCUCUAACCUAACUUAUCAUCACAUGACUAAUUAAGUGGUUAUGAAGUGAAUUAGGUUGCUUGCAGGCCAUGUGAUUUUGUCUAAUAUUAGGAAAUUCAUCUGUUAAGGCUAUCCCCACAUUGAUCCACUGGCUGUGACACCCAACAGUGAAGGAAACAUGUGGCCCCUUCAUGGUUAUUGAUUUGUCUGAUCUGUUUUACAUUUUGAUCAUCCAUGUCCCCACUGCUUGACUUGGCUCAGGAUUAAAUCAUAUCUUCCGAGGUGAAAUAGCCUGCCGUACCCAUUUUUUAAAGCGGCAAAUUAGCUAGAUUAGGCAGAAAAAAAAAGGUCUUGCUUGCUAUUAUGAUGUCAUUCUGUUGAAUAUAAUAGCCCAUAUGGUAGAUAGAGAAGAAAAAAAUGUUUAUUAAUUCCUGAUCAAAUUUGUAUUGAUAGCUUACCAAUAAUUGAGUCAUUUUAAAUGUUUUCCCAAAUUGUGCUUACUUCAUGUAUUGAUGAUUUUUGACUUCUCAUGCCCAUACAUUUUACUUUUGUGUAUCGAAUUUGAAAUUAGGCCAAAAUACUGUAACCACUCAAUCAAGGAUGUGGACAAGCUUGUACCAAUACCCACGUAACACUGCUUAAUCCAAUGAUCUGAAAACUUAUUCAUCUCCCCCGCCCUUACCUUGUGGAAAUUUUCUUGUGUUAGGUCUGAGGUGCUUUUCUUAUGCUAUUCUCAUGGAAUAGGAUACUGGGGAUACAAAUUAUUCCAGAUUCAGUAGUUUCGUAGCUCCAUUUCCCUACAUUAAUAUAAACCUGAGGUCAAAAUGGGUGACUCAAGCAUUUUGUCAACAUUACAAAUAGAAAGAGAUUUGGUAAUCUAGAUAGUUAGCAACAAAUUUAUUCUAAUGAGGGCUGUGAGCAAAAUAGAUUAUUUUAUCUCCUUAUUUUAUGCUUCGGAACCUUGCUUUUAUAGGUGGCCAAGAUGUGUAAGGACACGAAGCAUUCAGGUAGGUUUUUCUAGAACGUUAAACAGAUGAGAAUGUUCAAUAUUAUUGUCCUUAAUCACUUUUUAAAAGAAGCAUCAUAAAAGGGUUUUUGACCCUGUCUCCCAAAGCUUCAUCUCCAUGAUCCUUACAAACUAUAGAAAAUAUGGUUGUACAAAUGGGAAAGGAAGUAAAGAUAGGGCUGUGUGACAAAUAGCAGGCUGUGAGACGACUUUUAACCUAAUUCCUACCACACUUGUAAUUAAUUAAAAUGAUCAAAUCUUUAAGUCUCCUAAUCAAUUAUUUGUACCAUAUUGCCACGUGGAUAUAAAGCCAAGCAUUGUCUAAAUCAUUCAAUAAAAUAUGGGUAAUUGUUGUCAAAUUAUAAGUGGGUUGUUAUUUUUCCUUAAAUUUUGUAAGAUAUGAGAAAAGAGAACAUGUGAUACUAUUUUGUAUUUUGUUAUGGGUGCUUACUUAAUACUUUAUAACUUAAAUUGUAUUUAGGUUAUUAACUUAAAAUUUUUUUACGUAAUUCUUACUUUAAGUAUUAAAUUUAUCUGAUAAAAUUAAUUUAAAAUUUAUUCUAAAUCAUCAAAUUGAUAAAUUUACCAUCAUCAAUUAUGACUAGGAUAAAGAAGAUGAGUAAUAAUAGAGGUCAUAAAGUAACAAAAGAGAUUGUGAAAAUAAUUAUGAUAAAUGAGGAUAAAAAAGUAAAAUCUAAAUAUGAACUUAAGAAUAAAUUAAAUUAUUAUGUUGGUAUACCAAAUACCUAUGUAGGUAAACUUCUUUAUCAUAUAUAUAUUUUACUCUUUAAGGGCUAGAAUUAGAUAAGGUGAUGAAUGGACACAAGAUGUAAAUUAAACUGAAUAAUUGUAAUUGAUUUUCAUCUUUUGCCUCAGCAACAUUUGAAGAUGAACAUUAACCUUUUUCUACCACAAACCACUGAGACACUUAUUCAAAUAAGAUCUUUUAUAACUGAACCUGUUAUCAUUUUCUGGUAACAGGUAAGGUUAAUUUUUCUAGUAUUGUUGCCAGGAGAAUGUAGGUAGAAUCUAAAUGAACUGGUAUUAUUUCCUCUGCAAGAACAAAUAAUUUUCCUUCUUUUUGCAUUAAUUUCUCAUUGCAUGCUAAUUUGGAUGCCUCACGGUCAUCAGCACUUCAUUUUUUCUGUAUCAUUUGAAAUUAAAUUCCACCUAUAUAUAAAGUAGGAUCCUCGCCAUAAACAGCAGUAAAAGAUGGGAAGAAAAUCAAUAGGCUUACAUAAAUGUUCUACGUACUGGAAACCUGUAUAUACAAUAUUUAGAUUGAUUUAAUUGUCACUCGACAUGCACAUGUUGGAUUAGUGUCUAGCAACACCUCGGUCCCGCAACUUAAUUUUAUGUAAAGAUGCUGGGUCCUGGUGUGGGUGGUGGUUUGCACAUUUAAAAUUUUCUUUCAAUUGAAAAAACAUUUGGGAAGGUAAAAUUUAAAUGUUGAUCCCACCCGUGGGGCACCCAAAGGCGGCAAUAAUUUUCCCUUUAUCUCCACACCACCGGUUCAGAUUAUUAGAAAAGCCCUUUUGAGGUUGUCAUGUCAUAUUUAAUAAACUAAACAAGGUGGGCUCUUCAACAGCACGAUUUUCAAAUACAAACAUUAAAGAGGAGGUUGAUAGACAGAUUUUUCGUAGUCAUAAUGAAUGGAUUACAGUUGCAUUAGCCUUUUCAAUGGUCAUAGAAGUGAUGCAGUCUGAGUUUCUUUUUCACUUUACUCUUCUUCAAUUCAAUGGCGGAUUUAAACUCUAUCAUCCGUAAUUCACAUAUUACUAAAGGGCUUCUUUUGUAGUUCAAAGAAGGAGUUUGUGCCAGUAUAUGAAUUCAACUUCACACAAAAGAUCAAGGAAAGUUCCCUUCAAAAUCCAGAGUAUAAAAUCAUCACGAUCUUUGGAUUUCCAGACUUUACAGUCAAGAAACCAUUAAAACUAACACAUCUCAAAAUCCUAUAAUAAUUUUCUGAAGCUAUGUACAAAAAGGAAAAUGGCAUAUAUCAAACACACUGAAUCCUUAAUUGCCAGACUUUAAUUUCACAAUCCAAACUACCACUGUAAAUAAGAUAAGCAGCAUCAUCGUCGGAAUUGCUUCUGCCAUUGUAAUUGUCAACGGCAGCAGUCAAACACUUAACUGGGCCUCUGUGUCCUUCAAAGACGGCCAAACAAGAAUAGCUCCUCUGAAGUCCCUUCUUCCAAAUCCUAACUGUCUUAUCGGCCGAUCCACUGAACACCAAAUCCGAGACAAUGGCCAGGCAUAAAAUGGCCUUGGUGUGCCCUCUAAGUGCACCAGCAACCACCAUGUGCCCACCACUGGAACUAGUAUCUUUUUCCCAUACAAUAAUUGAUCGAUCACAUGCACCUGAAUACAACACUGAUCCAUCAGGGCUAAGAGCUAAGGCAUUAACAGCUGACUUGUGUUUCUCUAGUGUAGCCACAAGCCUAUGCUUCUUCUCUCCUUCAUGCUUCUUCCACACCUUGAUUUUCCUGUCAGCGGAACCAGUGUAAACAAUCCCAUCGGUGGACAGCACUAGUGCAUUGAUCGCGUCAUCAUGUGCCUUUUCCGCUGACUCCAGACAUCUGAAGUCGGUGGUUUUCCAAAUUUUGAACGUUCGAUCCCAGGAAGCGGAGUAUAGGAGAGAGCCAUCUUCUGACAAGGCUAAUGCAGAUAUGGUGUCAACGUGAUGAACCCAUGUGCAUUUCUUGUGCCUACGCACCUGUACAUAGUUACUGGCUGAAAAGAGUUUCAAGGCACGAUCACUCAGCGUUGGGAGUGUGGCCAUGCACUUGUAUUUUUGGUGAGGAGAAUCGUUGUCGACUUUCCACACUCUAAUUUUUUGAUCUUGGUGGGCACUGAAUAGUUUAUCUCCCAAAACCACCAGGGACUUCACCGCACCGUUGCCUAGAGCUACCCCGUUGUCGUUAGAAGUCUCUAGCCUCGAAGGAUCUCUGCUCCAUAUCCGAAUCUCCUUGUCGGAAGAGCCACUGUAGAGGAAUUUUCCGGCUAGGGCGAGGGAGAAGACAUAGGAGGAGUGGCCUUUGAGAGUGGAAAUGCAGUGGUGGUGGGUGGUGAUGGCUUGUUCAUGCCGUCGGGAUUGGGAGGUGAGAGAAGGAACAGAUGGUAGACUUGGUUGAGAAGCGAGAGAGUUUGAUGAUUCUGAAUGAAGGCAUGAAGAAUCUGAGUGAAGGUGAUGUGCUUGUGCUUGAGCUUGAGCUUGAGCUUGAGCUCGAGAUUGAGAUUCUUUCUCUUUAUGGCAAGACAAGGGACAUCGGAGAAAUCCCAUUCUCUCUCAAGCCUUUCGAGAGCGAGAAAGCAGCACUAGAAGACGAUGGGUGGGUGAGGAUAAACGUAACACGCUUAUAAAGAUGAUGAAAGGCGCGUAUUUUAGCACGAAGUGAACCUAGAGAGAGGGUAGCACAUUUUAGAAAAAGUAAAGUUGGGCCAAGGUGAACUAUUCAAUUUGAGGGGUUGGAGUCAGCCUGUGGCAAUCGGGUUGCAUCACUCGGAUAUCUAUGGCCAUGCGCAUCUCUCCAAAUUAAUUUACACUCCUCACACAUAACUUUUCCUGUAUUCUUUUUUCAGCCCAUUUGACGGGUGAUCAGCACCCUCUUUAUGGUGCCACUAGAUGUUGCGGAAAAUGCCAAGAUGUUUCCAUGGAAGAGCCGGACACAAGUUGCGAAAAUUCUUGAACAUUUUUUGUUUGGAUAUUAGGAUGGUUAGUGGUGUUCACAUCAAGUGCCGUGUCCCCACUAUUUUAUCAGAGUUACUUUUAGCUGGUCCUAGAACACCAUUCUUGCUGGCCCAAGCUCAUCCGUGGGUGGAUAGAUCGAGAUAUUUGGAUGUGGAAAAUAUGGAUCAAAGGAGACCCGUGUGGGCACCAUCUCAUUUGGUCUACAAACUCAUUAAUCUUCUUCAUCUAAGGUUACCCAUGGGAAGAUGCGGUCAGAUCGGGAUGUCCAAGUCCAACAGCUAGUGAUCGUUUUCUGAAUGGGAUUGUCAAGUUUCUACACUAUCCUCCCAAUCUGGUGGUGCUGGGGACCAGUUUGGCAGCUUAUGUAAGUUGAGAAACCUUUCUGUAUUGGCGUAAAUAAAUCUUAAAAAAAUGGAAUAUUAAAUAUAAAAGAUGAAAAAGAAAUGCAGUUUGGAGUCGUAAAUAAGGAAGGCUCCAAUGAAGGAGUGAGAAGUACGUGUUGAAGGAACCUCUCAUCCCUUGACAUUUUGGAUUUUUGAAAAGAGAGAAAUGUGUUUUCAACCCGUUGAAUAAUUGAGGUAAGAUCCUCCUAUAAGGUAGAAUCUCAAUUGGAGUUAUCUUUUACUUCUAAACUUCUAUUUCAUGAUAAUUAACUCGGGAGUAAAAGAUAAUCUUCCUAUCCCUAUGUAGUGGCAUCGGACUUAGUAAUGCCCCCUAAAUCAUGGGAAAGUCUGAUCAUUGGGCCAAGGCCUUAUAAAAAAAAGUAUAUAGCUGCUAAAUAUACUUACUAUUAAAGGUUGUCCCUGAAGCAAAAUGCGCGCUCCGCCUUACGCGUGAGCCAAUGUGCAAGAUUUAUAUUUAUGUCCUCAUUUAUUUGGUUAGAAAAUUGAAUCUUAUCAAUAAGUAAAAGUGACAUUUUCUUUCCUUUCUUUAUUUGAUUUUAUAUAAUUAAAUUUUACCAUCCGUACCAAGUGGCAUGUUGUACAGAGCUAUCCACUAGACUAUGCAACAUGUCGGCGGCAUAACUACUCAUUAUGAGUGUCAAAUAUCUGUGGGCGGACACUAAAAGGCGCAUGGGUCAUCCACAUUUGGAUUAUACGUGAUCAUCAUUUUAAAGGGCUUCAUGCCCCUCGCCCUUGCCUUGGCUCAAUCUGCUACAUGCAUUGAACACUAGCAGUGGCCUAAAUUUUUUGACACACCACAUCAAAGUCAACAGCUGAUGAACAAAACCAGGUGGAUGUCUAACGCGCAUUCAUUUGUAACCUGUGAAACCACCAAAGUUGUGCUAUCAAUCUAAAUUUCGGUUAUUAGUUGCUGUCGCUAUUUAAUUAUCACACUAUUCACAACCAUCGACUAAAGUUGUAUGAUUUAUUUACACAAUUAUUAAAAAAUAUAAUCAAUCAAAUCAAAUCAAAUGAUAUGAUUUGUGUUAUAUAUAUUACAUCUUACUUUCAUAAGUCCUUAUAUUAAUCCCUUUAUUUGCAUCUUAUCCCCUCUAAAUAUUUUACUGUUCAUUUUUAACAAUAGAGAUAGACAUCGAGAGUUUGAUAACUACCCUUUUAAUACUUAUGUUUUUCUUCUUUUAAUUUGGAUUGGAUUUUCACUAUCUUAUUUUAAAUUAUAUUUAACUCUAAAAAAAUAUUAAGAAAAAUUGAUUUCUUCUUAUUGAGUUUACUAUAAAAAAAUUCUAAAAAUAUUCGAAUAUAAUUAAAAUUAUAUAAAAAUUAAUGCAUUUUCAUAUUAUUUAAGUUAAAUAAAUAAAAUGAAUUUUAAAAAGUAACAUAUAAAUAUAAUUAAUUAAGUUUAAUUUUUUUUUUUUACUUUUCAUUUAUAUAUUAUUCCUUGUAUUUUUCUUUAAGCUAUUUUUUUCUUGAAAAAUUUAACAAAAAAUACAAAUAAAAAGAAAAUAAAAUACAUUAGAAAAAGAAAAAGUAAAAUGAAACAAAAUAUAUAUAUAUAUAUUUCAACCUUUGACUUAUUUUAAUUCAUCUAUACAAAUAAUUUAAAUAUAUAUAAAUUUUUAAUCAAUUUUAAUUAUAAUUUAUUUCUAUUUAUUUAUCAUGAUACAACAAAAAUAAGAAUUUUUUUUCCCUUUUUUUUCUUUCCACGUUACUUUCCUAACUAAGCAUAUCCUUCUUCACACUGAAAAGUUAGAAUUACGUGUGAAUUCUCAUUCCAGAAAGAAUCUCUUGAUGCAGUUCUUGGUCAAAGAAAUUAUGUUUCUUUUCCUCUGGUUCUACAAUUUUUUUCUUGGAUACUUCCUCAAUUGUCUGGUUAAAAACCAGUUUGAUCUUCAAGACUGGGUCCAAGGAACAUUUCUUCAAACCGAAAGCGCAAUGGUUUUACGGACAAAGAAAUAUAGAGCUGGCUGGCUAGUAAAGUCCGUCAACGACUGACCAAAAGGGUUUCUGUUGAACUCAAGACAGCUUAGACAGGAAAGGUUUUAGACCAACUAUAAAGGGCUCUUGUUUUAUGCACCCAGUUUUUCAACAAAGGCGUAUUUAAAAUCAAACCAAGAUGUUGAAUUACCCGGUUUUUCCAUCUUUUUGUGGGUUUGUUCGUAUACGGAAGGAGUGGAUGGGGCUGUAGAUCCUUUUCAAACCGAUAAAAUCCGGCUGCAAAUUGCAAAACCCUGCCUGCAACUUGCAGGACCCUUCCAAGUGUGCUGUCUGUGGGACCUAAAAGUGGAGAAUUGACCAUUACAUUUAGAAAGACCUGUGAUUCAACGAUGCGCAUUGCUUUUUCUUUUUAUUGUUACAAUGUGUACGUUCGAUAAAAUCUUGAUGGAUAAUGUGAAAUCUUAGCCAAGUCCGAAUCAUUCCCCUGGGAUUUUCUUUCUUUCAUAUGGACAGACAAUAUUAUUUCUUCCUGCUUUCUAGAAGACUGACGGGUAUGCCUUGUACAUAAAGUUUAUCCACACAAAAGUUGUACUUUCAAUUUUUUUAUUUUAUUUUACGUUAUUAUUGUUACUGCAUGGACAUAUAAAAAUAUUUUUCAAUUUGGAAUUUUUUUUUUAAAAUAGACAUAAUUCAUAUAAAAUAUAAUGAUUCCUUUGAGUUAUGACUCAACACCAAUGACGAAUUCAGGAGGAAUUUCAAGAAUUCUUGUUAUAUGCCAGGUCCAACCCUCAACUAUUUUUUUUUCUUCUAGAUUUAUCGAUAUGAAAUCAAUUGAAUGCACUUCUACCACUUAUUCCAUUUUCAGAAGAUCAUGUAUUAUGUCAUCAUAUCCUGAUUUUUUUCAUUUAUAAAUAUAAUUAAUAUUCAUGAAUGGUUGCUUUCAAAGUAGUUAAAUAAGGUUUAGCUGAUAUUAUUAUUAUAGAGUCAACUGAAACAAUUAGAACUUCAGGAUCCAUUUAGUCAUAAUUUUUAAAAUUUGUUUUUAAAAAUUAUUUUUUAUUUUUUAAUUUCAAAACAAUUUUUAAAAAUAAGUUUUAGAAAAGAUAUUCAAAUAGAUUAAUUUUUUUUUUUUUUGUCUUUAAAAUUUGGUAAAACCAACUUAUAUUUGUUUUCUAUUUUAUUUUGUUUUUAAAAAUUGUUUUUAGAGAGCAACAACUAAAUGAUGUUAGAAUUUUUUUAAAAUAAAUUUCUAUUUUUAAAAAUAGAAAAUUAUUUUUAAAUCAAACAAUCAAAUAUGCUCAAAAUUUUAAAAUGAUAAUGUGUAAGAGUGAGAGAGUUAAUUAAAAUGGAAAUUAUCACUUAAAAGAAAGAAAAAAAAGAACAAAUAAUAUAAAUUACAUACUCAUGAUAAAACAGAUUAUAACUCCUAAAGCAACACAUAUGGAACACAAAAUAUUCAUCACCAUAACUAUAUAUAUAAAAGGUAGAGAGAGGGAUAAGAUCUUCUCCACCAAUGAAAUUGGAUAGGUGAAAGAAGGCAACUAGACGAAGGAUGUGAUGACUUCGAAAGGCAAAAUAAAAUUGAUGACUUGCCAUCGAUGAGUAAGGUGAAAAGAUGGUGGAUAAAUGUGAAAUGGUUACUUUAUAGCUGUCAUGGAAUCCAUCAAAUAAUUAGAGCAGUAGAGAUUUGGAUGGUAUUGGUGGUGAGGGGUGCGUCAGCCCUCAGGAGGCCAAUUUCUAUGCCUUCCAGCACUGGCACCCCCAACCAAUUCAUCCAAGAUGAUAAUAUAUUAUCAAUAUCCAUCACUUAUGGUCUUCUCAUAUUUGAAUUUUACUGUUCCUCUCAAGAUAGAGGGCUAUUCAUCCAAGACUUUGUCUUCACUUAUGUCUCUUUAUGGGCUCCAGCAAACUCACGAAUGAAGAAUGACUAUGACUCCUGACCAUCUUGGUGUAGUGACUCCAUUGACAAAGGUAGAGAGAAUUUGGAAUGAUAAUGAGUAAAUGAUAACUAAUUCUACUGAUUUAUCUGCUUUCAUGUAGACUGAGUGUUGUAAGUGAACAUGGUGGGUUCUUAUUUCUUUAAGGUAAGAUGAUGCAUUUAAUAGACAUUAAUCACGCCUCAUGAUUUGGUAGAGGGCUCCAAGCUUAAUGAUAUAUCAUAAUAAAAAAAACACCUACAUAAUGGACACAAACCUCUUGACAAGUGAAAUUAUAUUAAUUUACAUCAUAAAAUAAUAAAAAUUAAAUUAAAUUAAGUUUAAACUCGAUAAUCCUUUUUGAUAUUGUGUUUGGGUACACAAAGACUAAAGAAAAAUCAAACCAUGUUAGCACGCCAUGAGGUGGUUGGAUUAAAUUGAAACCAACAUUGAAGGGAAGCAUGUCAUAUCAAUUGGGAAUUGGCCUAUUUGAGGGGGUGAAGUUAGGAACAAAAUAUAGGUGGUGAUAUGCAUUUCAGGAGGAAUUUAUAGAAUAAGAUGGAGUUGAUUUUUGAAAAUUGAAGAUAAAUAACAAUAAGAGCUAAUAAGAAUAUGGUGGUUCCAAAUUUUUUACCGAAGUGGUUAAUGGAAAUUGAGAGAAACAUUUGGCAUGUCAACAAAAGGAUAAGUAGUUGAAAGAAAUUGAGAAAGCAAAUCAAAAGAAAUUAGGAGAGCAAGUGUAGCACAUUAAGCCACGUUGUUUGCAUGCUUGAUAAAAUUUUAAUAUAAGUUGAAAAAGUAUUUAGUAGCAUUAGGAAGGUGGAGAUAUUUUUGAAGGUUAUGAAAGACAAAAGAUAUAUGACAGCUUAACAAGAGCACAAUAAUACGACAAUUGCAUUAGAAGGGGACUUUAUUAUGGAUUUUUUAAUAUAUAUAAGUAAAGGAAGACUUAAGGAAAAUUAUAUCUGCACAUCACAUCACAUCAAUUUAACCAAUGCUACUGUUAUGCGUUUUUAAUAUUUUCAUUAUUCAUCAUCAAGCUUCUUAUCUACUUUUAGAAAUAGGAUUAAAGUAGGGCUCAUCAUAGGUUAAGAGAAUGUCAAAUUGUUUGUUUCUAUUUGGUUUCUUCAAGGCUAAGUAUCCUCAUUAUAAUAUCCCCUUAUGCAACUUUUUAUGUGAGUUUUUAUCAAUGUUUUUAAGAUCAAAUCAGUCAUUGAAUUGAAAAAGUUACUGAUUCACGGUUCACUAGUCAAAUCGAUGGUCGAAUUGAUGAUGUCAUAAAUAAUUAAAUAUAUAAUUUAUAAAUUAUUAAAAUUUAAAAUAAUUAUAAAAAUAAAAAUAAUAUUUUAUAUAUUAUUUAAAAAUUAAAAUUUUAUUUGAAAAUCAGAAAAUUAGUUUCAAAUUAUAAAUAAAUCAAAAUUAUAAUAAAAAAAUAACACAUUAAAUAUAAAACAUAUAUAAAAAAACAUAUACCCUUCCUACAAUCCUCUUAAAUUUAAUUAAAUGCAUCGUUUUCACUCUAGAAGAGUUGUAUCUCCUAUAUCAGUUUCAAACAAACACCAACCAAACACUCCCAAAAUCAAUUAAAUAACCGGUCCUAAUUUGACACGAAACCUAAAUUCUUCCCCACAAAUCCAUUCAAAGAGGUAACCAACCAAGAUUCAUCGAAGAUUAAAAAUUCGAAAGAGAAAUAACGAAAUCCCUCAUUUCAACCUAAAUCUUCACCAAAGAUAUUACAUGAACAAGAUCUUCCUCUACUUCUUUACACAGAAGGGAAAAUAAAAAAUAAAUAAAAAACUGAAAGAAGAUGAUAUAAAGGAGAUGUGCACAAUUUUUCCUAAUUAUUAUUUUUUAAAACAACAGAGCAGAAACCAUUAACAUUACAUUUCCCAUCAUAUUACAACCCUUGCCCAUAAUUAACCCCAAAUUACACAGAUCAUACAAACACAAAGAUACAUACUAGUAAUUAUCCUCUUCUUUCGUCCCAAUCCUUUGUUUUUUCUUGAUUUUUCAUAUCUUUUUUCCAUUUAAAAAAAUCAUGGAAAAAUGGAUCUUUAAUUUGUGAAAGACGCGAUGGUGAGACGAAACGAAAUUAAUUCAGAUUCCAAUAGUCCAGGUUCAAAUCCGGGCAUAGAGAUCUGGAUUUGUAAUAGUUUGAUAAUUUCAUUUGUCAAUUGAGCCGGAGCGGUUUUCGAAGAUCUUUCGUUGCCCAGUCGUCAACGACAAGCGACACCUGCUUCUUCUUCGAAAAAAACGGUAACUGAAGAGAGCUCAAAGAAAAAUCAAUAUGGCGUCGUUUUGACACAAAAAACAAAAAAAAAAAAAAAAAUUAAAAAUUGAACUGUCUAGUUCACCAAUCGGACCGCCAAUUCAAUCGGUCCAAUUCCGAUUCAAUCACUUUUUGGGUCAAUUGACCGGACUGGACCGGAACCAUGACCAGCCGACGAUCAGACCAGUCCGAUUUUUAAAAUCAUGGUUUUUAUUCUUUAUGAUUUUUUUUAUCUGUUUUAGAUUAACAUGAUAAUCCCAUCAAUGUAAUGAGAAUGUUACUAUCCAUAAAAAAUAUAUUAUAAUUGGAUUAUUCUUUUAGCAUGGUAUUGUGUUGCAAUAGUUUCCUAUUCUAAUCAAUUCUAGUAUCCACUGCAAUAUCAAUGAGGAAGUAACGAUGUUAUGUCAACUAGCUUUGCACCCUUCAUAGUAUCACUACAGCCAAUCAAUGAAAGCUAGAUUGGAAUAAAAGCUCCAGUACUGAAUCACUAAAGUGGAAGAACGAUAUAAGAGAUGACUAUUCUAACAUGCAAUGUGUCGUCAAUAAAGCAUUAUUCCAAUGUCUUAGCCUCGUCAUGGCUUGAUGGCCAUAUUCCACUAAAACUAUUAAUAAUGCCAUUAUUUAAACAUUGAACAUGCCAUCUACGAAGUAUUAUUCUAGAGUCAUGGUAUCAUCAUGAUUUAGUUGAUGGAGCUACUAGUUUUGUUCUCAUAGUUCACUCAUUAGAAAUUUGAUAGUACGAGUCAUUGUUCCAAUAUUAAGCAUUUAACAAUAUUACAAACACCUUCGUAUAACCAUGGUCUGAUCAAUAGGACCAUUGAUUUGUAUUUCAAUACUCUAGUAUUAAUCCGUUAAAUAUUUGCUUAUAACAUUAUUCCAAAGCAACAUCAUUCAAAAACAACAUUACUCCAUAAUAGCAGCAUUCCAAAGCUAUUUUAGAAUGGCAAUAAUCAUGCAUCCUUAAAAACCAGGAAUAAGUUGGUGCAAUAUUCAUCUAUCUCAAUCCUAUAAUUGUUGUCAUCAUGGUAUGGGUUAUCCAUGAAGAAGGGUGGGAUGAUACGUUUCAUUUGAAAAAAAAAAAAAAUGACAAUGGCAAUAAUAAUAAUUUUAAAACUUAACCAACUGGCCGAUAGAAUACAAUAUGAUACCUUGUUCAACUUUUUGGUAUUGAUGGCUUGAAGAUAACAUUAAUGAUCAUGUUGUUAUCUGGCGAGACAUUUAAAAUGUGGUCAGGUUGAAAGUAUACCCUAAAACGUUACUCAUCAAUCAACCAAUACCAGAAUUUUCAUUUCCUACAAAAUUUUAAUUUAAAGCGCAUGGAGAAGAAAAACUAAACAAUAUCCCAACUUGCAUUAAUGUAUUUGACCCAAUUUGCAUGGGUGAAUCCCUCCAAUUUGUAAUGCCAUCAUCAUUGAAAGAUAACAUAAUUAAGAGCAACUUGGAAGUUCUUGGAACAUUAUAAUUUCCACUUCAAUUUUUUUUUUUCAGAGAGAAUAAAAAGAAUGAUUUCUGUUGUGACUUCUUUGUCCGUUUUCCCAACAAAAUGAGCAUAUAAUUUAAGAAUAUUUAAUUACUGCGUCCAUUCUCAGAGUUUGAGUAUUGAGAGUAGCAUCGCUGAAUUCAAAAUAUAAGACAUCAUCAUUAAGAGAGCAUGAUUGAGCCGGAGGGCUUGAAUAUUGAGUGCCAGGGCCUGCCUCACUAAGGUUGGGGUUUUUAUGACUGCCAUAGUGAUGUAAGCCCAUUGGAUGGGCCUUGUGGGAGUUUGGCCCGUGGAUUUUCGGUAGAGGCGGAAGAGGGCAUGGGCUUUUGUCUUUGAACCUUAAGACCCAACAAAUUCGAGUGGAACACUUGGCAUCCAGCAAACUCAAACAAUGCUUGAAACCCCAAAUCUGAAAAUUUUUAGAGAAAGAUAGAAGAUGUAGUUGGAAGCCACCUAAUGGUACAACUAGCAUGAGGAUAAAAGGGGCAGUGUAAGGUUCACAUGUUUCGUAUAGCAUAGCACAAUAGUACAUGACCCAAGUAUGGACAUAUGGUAAAUAUACUUUUUAUUAUCAUAAUUAAGUACUAGUAUUUGCCAAAACACAACAUUCAUUACCCUUGUUCUCUUGAAUACGACAUCUUCCACCCACAUUCCCCAAGAAUACACAGGUAAAGAUGCUGAUUUAAAUAUAUUAAAACUAUAUAUGGCAUGAGGUAAAAAUAAAAUAUAAUAUAUAUAUUUUAAGAUAUCGUAUUCAUAAAAUAUAAAUAUUUUAUAAUAUCAUUAUAAUGAAAUAUAAUAUUAUUAGAUAUUAUUUAUAUUAUAUAUAAUAUCUAAAGAUAUUAUAUUUAAUAGGAUGUGUUAUAUUAUGUUUAUAUUUUAUUAGUAAAAUGAAUAAAAAAAAUAUUUAAAGUUUAUAUGUUUGGUAUUUUUUAAAAUUAUUUAAUAAUUUAAAUUUUAGUAAAUAAUUAUUUAUUUAUUUAUUAUUAAAAUAUUUAAAAUUUAUAAAUAAAAAAUUUAUAUAUUAAAUAAUACAUAUAUUAGUAUUAUUUUAUAAUAAAAAGAUAAUAAAAUGGUGGGAGAAGAAGAAUGUGUUUGAUAAUGAUUUUAAAAAGUGUUUUUAAUCUUUUUAAUAUUUAAAAUUUUUUAUCUCUAUAAUAUUAAAAAUGUUAAAAACACUUCUUAAAAUCACUUUCAAAUAUAUUCGAACACAGAUUUCAUGAGUCAUAUGUUACGUAGCGUAGGAUAUCGGUGUAACUUUUCUAAAUUUUAUUAGUGAAACAAACACUAAAAUUGUUGGCAACGUACCACGUAAAACGUGUGAUAUUUGUACAAUUUGCCCUAUUAGUGAAACGAAAGCUAAAGUGGUCGGUAACCUCACCUCUCUAACGUUUGAAGGUGGUACCGAAGAAAAUUGGAGUGACGUGACACACAAAGCUUUGGCCGCCAGAAUUUUGGAAGCGUUAAUGAGAUUAGACUCCCUAAAUGAAUAGCCUCCAGUCCUUUUCUCUAGUUCGUUAAACAACUGUUUAACUUUAGCCACCCUCAAUGAUGGAUGGAAACAACACACACCCGCAGCCUCUGCCUGGAGGGCGGAGGGCCCAAUCUUAAUUUCUUUAAACAAGACAAAAGGAGGAGCCUUUUAAGGCCUAAACUAUUAAACUAUUGGCCCAACCCCACAAAAGACAAGUUGGAUAUGGACAGCACAGGAGAACUUUAUUUCUAUACGGAAUUAUGGCAAGUGAUUUUUUGCAAAGCUUUGGUGAUUCCCACAUCGGUCAUCUUCUAUUUGAAAAGACAAUUUACAGCCUGUGAUGAAAUACUGGGAAAAAAAGACAGAAAAAGAAACAAAAACAAAAAUCAGAGUCUGUGAUCACAUUUUCAGUUUUCCUAGUACUAAAAAUUAUAAACUGCAUAAACCUGUACUUUAUUUGCAGUAAGGAAAGCUGAUAAUCCUUCUGAAAAAUCAACAAAAAUCACUGAAUAAUAAUAUAUAUACUGUGAUGUAUGAACACAAAAUCAACUCUCAUACAUCACACGUGUAUGCGUAUACCACUAUCUAAAAAUAAAAAAUUAAAAAAAAAUUAAUUACAAAGCUCACAACAUCAACAAACCAAAUCCAACGGCCAAAAGGAUCCCAAAACUCCACCGUGGAGCUGCAGUGUAGGCCCCGCUAUUAUUAGUGGUUUCGCUCUCCUGAGACGGCGACGUAGAGGAACCAUUGUAAUUGGGAUUACUGCCGUACAAUUCCUGAAUCCCCUGAAUGUCAUCACUAGCAAGCUCCACCUUCUUUGUCCGUGAGGUGAUCGUUGGGUACAUGAUCGCUUCUUCUACCGACGAGUGCCCUAACCCAAGCAGAUGCCCAAUCUCGUGAACCGCCACGGAUUCCAGGUCGAUCGCCGAAGAUAUAGACGAUGUUGUGACGUCGCCUGUAGCUACCCAAUUCUCCUCGCCGUCCAAGUGGAACCGUCCGUUCGUAGGAGAGAAGGCGUGUGCUAGGGUUCCCAAUACUCCGUCGAAAGCCUCUCCGUCGCCGUGGUCUCCGGUGUAGAAUGCAAUCCUGAGAUCGGCGGAGUAAUACGAAUCACUUUCCGUGAAAGUCAAGGGCGUUACUGCCGCCCACCGCUCAAAUGCGCUUGUGAACACGGCCUUGACGGUGUCCGACAACUGAUUGUCUGGCAGAAACCCGUACGUCAGAUUACGCUUUGACUCCGGCCAGACAGGCUUGCCAUCGAAGAAGCUGUAGUGACCGACGGUGUGGAAAUGGCCGCUGGUCGACGGCGUGGAUUUACCGGAAUUCAUGGAACUGGAGCCGUUUUCUAUGUCAGCAUUGCCGCAUCUGGGACUCACAAUCUGAUUUAGGGUGGCUUCGUCGAGUUGUCCCGUGGUAUUGAGAUUGAAAUUGAGUUGAUAAGUCUUGAGAGCCUGUUCAAAAGCAUCGUCGAAGUCAUCAGUGUAGUUGGAAUUGUGGAUGUAGCCAAAGUAGUGGAAGUACUCUUUGAGCUUGGCUAAGCCGUCGGCUUUAUCUCCAGCAUGACACCCAGCGAACUUCUUGAAUGCAUCCCAGCCGCUCGUGGUGGCGUUGGGCGGUGACGACGGAGGCAUAGAUGGUGCAUUUGGGAAGAAACGCGCAGAGACUGAUGUCGUGAGAAGUGGAAGAAAAAUUGCAGCACAGAGAACAUGAAAUCUCAUGUUCGUUUGUUUGUGUGAUGAAAGCAUACAGAGAAAGAGGGGAUGAUUGGUUUGAUAGAAAAUUGGCUGAAAAUUUCAAGGCCUGAGGGAUGCGGACUUAUCAAGGAUUGGAGGUACUAGAAGGCCGGCAAGCGUCAGUGGCUGUUGAUGCCUUGGUCAAAUGAUAUCGUGUUGAAAUUUCAGUUUGAAUGUUUCGUCUGUUGGGUUUUACACGGGUGGGGAGGCAUUAUUUGUUAGACUAUAGUUGAUUUAAUGUUCUGAGGCUGAGCAGAGAAGGGAUUGGUAGAAUAACGGUCAAAGUUGGGGGUUGAGCUGCUUUGGCUGCGCAUCUCUCCCCAUCUCUCUUGCGACGGCCUUCAAGUUUAUGACUUACGAAGGCCCUAUGUUGCCUGUCCUAAUCUUUCGGUACCAUCAAGAAACUACACAACUAUAAAAGUCCCCGCCACAAUAGAAAAGAGGAAUCGUAAUCAAAUUGAAUUGUUUAUGGAUGAGUUUUAUAAUAAGAGUACAAGAAGUCAAUUGGAAAGAUCAAUGAAAAAAAUUCAGCAUAAGAAGUCAAAAUUAAUCCAAUAGAAUUUUCCAUGAUCAUGGCUCCUUUCCUUUGAAUGGUAGACCUGGUGCGGACUUGGGCCCAUGAGGGAGCUCUGGGACUAUGACACCAUUGUGGUGCCCAGCAACCUCUUCGCUUCACGCGACAAAAUUAGUGUUGUCCUCAAGGAAUGGAAAAAGCAGAGAAGUUCCCAUGAUUCUCUGUGCAUGGGGGGUUUUACCUUACACCAAAUCACUCAGCUGUGGUAACGAAAGAGGUUAAACAGUUGAACCAUCCUCUGGAAUGUAGGGAUGGUUUAGCCUGUUGUGAAACGGUGACCUGCUUUAAGAUUCAACAGAAUCCCAGAUUCCCAGCUGUCUACUUUUAUGCUCUACGGCUCUACUCCAUCUGUGUACAUGGAGAUUUUGCAAAGACGUACAAGAAUUUGAAUGAUUUGAUUUCCUGUACGGACCGUUCCUUGUUCUACUGGUAUUUUACUUUUUUUUGCCCUCUACUCGACAGGUGUUCAUUUCCUUUUAGGCCAGACCAUGCCAACAACCCAAAGAGCUACGUCAUUUCAUUUUAAAAGACUGAAUAAUUAUAAGAAUGACCAGGCUUUCCUGCUUGAUGGUUUGCUGAAUAUAACAUCGUUAUUAAUUUAUUACAUUACGGGUCUCACAUGAUAUAAUCAACUUAUUAGAAAGCACUUCCACCAAUUUCAAAUACAUAAUCCGAUACUUGCUUUUCAAGACUUAAAAUUUGGCUUCUUUUAAUUAUUCAACUUAAAUUAAAGCUAUUAUCUUUGACUCUCUUCAAUGGAAGCUGACAGGUAGCUUCUUUACAAUUCCGUUGACAGUUUGGCAAGUUGUAGGGCCGAAAUUUGGGCAGUUUGUGGCCUUGUUUAGGUAACCGAAUCAACUACCUCCUAACUUGGAAAUAUGUUGCCAGAGGAGAAUUCUAUUAUAUUGAACCGCUUCUUCUGUGCCAUGAAUGUGUGAACAUUGAAUUUGGGAUCUGAGUAGGUGAAGUGUCCACCUCUUUCCCCGCAAAAAUAUUACGUGUAAAACUGUCUUAAACUUUUGUUUAGCUUUGGGUGGGAAACCAAGUCGUGAGAGAUUAAAAAAUAAAUUUGGUCACAUAGAGGGCUUUCUAACACAUGUGGGCCUGUGGCUUUGUGAUGCACUUCUUGUAUGAAACAUUCCCAUAGAAAAAAAAAACAAUUGACUUCCUUGUUAUAUGAGGUGGUAGGUAGGUAAAUGUUUAAUCAAGUUGGACACAAUGUGAUAAUAAUUGAAAACGUAAAUGUUUUUGUGGACCUUUAAGUCCAUUAUCGAUUAUUUUAUCUACCCCUAAAACAUAAUUGUCUCUCUUAAAACAAUAAAUAAUUUAUUUGUAAUAAUAUUUAAUUAUUUUUUAUCUCCAUCUAUAUUAAUUUGUACCAAAAUUUUCUAUCUUUUUCUUUUUAUCUUAGUUUUUUUUUUUUUUUUUUAUCUUAAUUUCUUUUCAAGUCUUAUCAAUUUGGAAGUAGCUUUCAAAAAAUGUUCUCAAUUUCCUAGAAAUGGGAAAGAGCAAAAUGCCAUUAUUACACAAAUGAACCCUCCUUUUGAGUCAUUGUAAGUGGAUGACUUUGUAGAGUAAGCUAAAUUACAUUCUGCAGAUUCAACUAAUGCGCUUCUUCAAAAUGAAGCUUCCUUUAUAUGGUCAUAAGAUUCUAGAAGAUUUCGUAGAUGUCUAGACUUAACCACGAUUAGGUAAGUCCUGGAGUUGUGUAAACUUAUUUAGGUAAUGUUUAUGUACUAUGUAAAUAUAUUUACAAAACCCAAGCAAGUGUGGAAGGUUCUAAAAUAUCCUUCAGAACCAUAGGAUAUUUUAUCAUCCUUUGGGUUUUAGUAAAUAGAUGAGACUCUUAACACCAGGAAUGUAAAGUGGUGUAGCCUUCAAAACUUUCUUAUACAAUAAAAGUAUUCAUUCUUUUAUACUCAUUAACGGACCUUUUCGACACCUUUAGCUUCUAAAUUGUUUAUUAAAAGUUUUUAAUUGUGAUAUCUCACAUCGGAUAUGAGAAAAAAUUAUUAAAAUUAUAUAAAUAUGAAUUCCUCUUAAUUAUGUAAACGUAUUUUAAAGUUAUGAAGAUCAUUUUUGACACAUCGAUAUGGGAGUCUGUUUAACCUCAUAAUCUUAUAAAACACAACUAAGAUAUUAUAUUUAUAUAAGAAGUGUUUGUAAUAUUUCACGUCAAAUAGAAGAGAAAAUUAUUGAAAUUAUAUAAACAUGAAUUUCAUAAAACACAACUAAGAUGUCAUAUCUACAUGAGAAGUAUUUGUAAUAUAUAUCUCACAUCAGAUAGAAGAAAAAAGUUAUUAAAAUUAUAUAAGUAUGAGCUCUUUUUAACCAUGUAAACGCGUUUUAAAGUCAUGAAACUCUUUAGGUCUAAAACAAACAAUAUUUAUAUGAUUGGAUGCAGAUUAACAAAAUUAUCUAAAAAUGGCUAAAUAGGUUAUUUCGAUUUUUAAGUCCAAAAUUUUGAUUUUAUUUUCUCAAUUUCUUUAAUAUUAAAAUAAAAUCCGAUCACAUGAUAGAAAAAUGAUAUUAAUGGAAAACCACUCAUAGAAUAUAUUAUAAAUUAUAUAAAUAUAUAUAUAUAUUUUUUUAAAUCAUGAACCUAAUAAAUUUUUGGGCAAAUCCAUUAAUUUGGAAAAACAAGUAAACAAAUUUACCUAUAUUAAAUGAUACCUUCUCUUGAGGAUUUUACACUAACCAACACACAUUUGUCUCAUGUGCAUGAUCCAACAUUAAGCAACUAAACUUGUUUGAAGUUGUAAACAAGUUAACCAAAUAUCUUAACAAGAAAUUAUAUUUUCAUACAAAAUCCAUAAUUUCAAUUAUGAGAAAUCUCUCAAAAAUAUUACUAUUAAAAUAAACUACUAAUGACAAAAAUAUGUUAGAUUAAGCUAAUCUCAUAACUUAAGAAAUGAAUGGAUUUCUCAAACCCUUUCAACAUCCCUCCUUGCUAGAAUUGAGUGUACUUAAAAAUAUGUAAAUAAAAUGAGUAAACUCAAAAGCCAAUAAGAAAUAAAGGUUAAAUACAUUUAAUUUUCAAAAAUGAAAUAGAAAUACUUAGUAAUAUGAAUCCAUUCAUAUAAAAUAAGUAUACAUUAUAUGUGCUCUUUUAGAACAAUCUCAAACCAUAUUUCAUAAUCAAGAUUAUAAAAAUGCUCAUUAUGAUGGUACUUACCUAAAUAUACGGUAAUGGAACUUAUAGAAGUCAUUAGCCUCAAAUGUGUCAUUGAAAGUGUCAAAUAACUCAUAUUAUCAUUAAUACAUUCCCAUACCAAAUCAAACAAGAGGUAAUUAUAAGGAGAGACCUUCACCAUGAACAUGGUAUAUUGACCGAUAUUAGUCAACAUCUCAUUUGUUUGUCUUGCUUUUCCAUCAACUAAUUUGAUUGUCAGAAAGGAGUCGAUUUAAGCGACCCAACCUAACCUUUGUUCUCUCUAUUUCUAUGUUGAAUUAGUCGAUAGGUGACACUUGGAUCCAAACUAUUAGGAGGUGGAUGAAAUAAGUAUCAAUUUAAUUUUUUUCGGAUUUACUAAAUUGGGGAAUGAUUGAGCACCUAUGGGGGAUAUUUAAGUAUGAUAGGCAGAAUGAUAAACUUCAACUACAUAAGCCUAAUGUUAUCACAACACCAUUCCGACAAUAAAACCAACAAUACCAACAAAGGGACAUUCAAACGUAAUAUGAAAAUUUUAUUUUAAAUAAAGCAAAAAAUCACGGAGAAUUUUUCUUUUAUUAUUAACAAGGGGAAUAGGAUUGCCUCACUAUGCUUCUAUGGGAUGCAAUUAUAUAUGAACACGUUGAGUAGGAAAAACCAUCAACUUAUUCCACCAAUACAAGGGAGAAAUACGAGGAUUUUUCCGAAGAGAAAACUCCAGUGAAUUGAGAAAUCAACCAGCCAGCUCCAUGGCAAAGGAAGAAAGCAAAAGCGCUCCUUCUCCACCAAUUUUGAUCUCAUAGUAACAGCACGCACAACGUACUCAUAAAUUAUGGUGGAAAACAAAAAAGGAUAUACCUCUUCAAAUUUUAUGCUCUCCUUUAGAUGAAGAAAAUUAUUAAGAAAUGGGGGAAAUAGAAAUGAAUCUAAAUUUUCUUUUUGAUUUAUCAAGAUAUAUAUAGGAAUAUCAAAUAUAAUGAUAAUCAUUUAAAAAUUUAAGACUUUGAUUUUGGAACAUUUGACGAAAUGUGAGAAAAAAAUGGAGAGAAAAAGUAUAAAAUAAGGAAAUAUAAUAAAAAAUUAAUAUAUAUACAUAUAUAAAUUUAAUAUUAAUAAAUUUUUCUAUAUGUUAUUUUAAACUUAUUUCACUUCUUUUAACUCUUCUCUAUCUAAAGUUAAAUAAUUUAUAUUCAUAUUUUUCAUAGUAAAACAAAAAAUAAAAAAUGUUUUUCAUAUUUUUUCUUUACUUAGUACAUUCCUUGGAAUCAGAUACCACAUAAAUAUUUUCAAUUUUUUUAUUAUUUAUAUACAAGAGAAAAGAAUAAAAAUAAAUUUGAAGAAGCAUGUAAGAAAAUUUUAUUAAGUUUAAAACAAUUUUUUUUUUUUUUUUUUACUUUUCUUUCAUUUUCUUUUUCUUCUUUACUUUUUUUUCUUUGUAAUUUAUCCUUAUUUUAGGUUCUUGGAAAGUUUGAGAAAAAAAUAUAAGAAAAAUAAAAUAGAGAAAAAAUAAAGAAAAUAAAAAAUAAAUUUAAAGUUAAUAAAUUUUUUAUAUAUUCUGAUUGAAACUUAUUUCACUUAUUUUUCAUCUUCUAUAUAAAAAAGAUUUUAUAAAUAUUUUUUUAAGUAAAGUAAAGAACUAUUAUUAUUAUUAUUAUUAUUAUUAUUAUUAUUAUUAUUAUGGCUUAGUUCAAUAAUGAUAUUAUGGUAGUUAUGUAAUUUGUUAAUUGUUUUACAAAUGUCAUACCAACUCCAUACACGGUAUUGGAAAUGACAAUCACUAAGGGAAAUGAAGCAAAAGACAAAUGUGCCUACCUACUAAUCGUAACGCUAGCAUCACAAAGUUGUGUUCAAUCACCCUUCAAUUAGUAAAAUAAAGUCGUUGUAUUUCUAGACUUUACAUAUUUUUUGUCAAACAUUGUUCAGGCUGCCCAGCAAAUCACUGACGACUCAUUGAAGGAGACAUGUAAAUGGAAAAAUAUAUUCCCUCCUCUCUCAUUUGUCAAACUUUAUGGCCUGGCCUUCUUCUAGAUGGUUACAUAAUCUGAUUUCAUCUACUAGAAGCCUAAAAAGGAAAUGGAAAAGGAAAAAUUUUCAACAUUUGAAAUCUUACCAAUGUUUAAGAAUUUACUAAUAUUCAAAAGAAUAGGCAUGUUUGUGUUUGUAUUAAUACAAUGAAUCCAUUAAUUUUAUGUUUAUGUUUAUGAUUAGUAUAUUUAAUAAUCCAUACUAUAUAAAAUAGCGAAAUGUUUGUCGAUUUUUUUCUUAUGAUGCCCUUACCAUCUCACUUAUAUAUGCUUGUGUCCUAUCAUUAAACUAUAUCAUUUUUUUCAGCAAUAGUGAUGUUUGUUCCUUCUUUCAAUUCCUUUUCCACAUCCCAAUCCCACCUAUCUUCCAAUCUUGAUAUAUUCUCCUCAUGAAAAUAAGUGUUAUUAAAGUAUUGUUGAUUCUCUAUAAAAAUCACAUUCAUAGUGAUAUAAUGCUUCUUUAUAGGAGAGUGAUGACACUUGUAACCUUUCUUUGUGGGGUACCCUAAGAACGCAAUCUUCACAGCUCUAGGAUCCAACUUUCCAUGUAAUUGGUCAUGGAUAUGGACAUAUGAUACACAUCCGAAGACCUGUGGUGAUAAUGUGCCUCCUUGAAAGUUAGGAAAUAGUAUCAUGAGUUUCUUCAUAGGUGCUUGGUUUUCUAGGACUUAUGUCAGCAUUGUAUUGAUAAGGUAUGCAAUUGUUAGUAUAACAUCACUUUAGUAUCAUUUUGACACUUUCAUUUGAAAUAAAAGAUGAUGAGAAUCAACAAGCAUUCAAGGAUCCAUUGCAUGUUCCAGUUGGGCCUAUUACUAAAGCAAGAUCCAAGAAGAUCAAAGAAGCAACACUUAAUGAGCUAAUUCAAGAAAUUUGGGUUAAUUCUAACGCAGGACAUUCCAAGUUUGGCCCAAAGGAAUAUGAAGGUGUAAUAAAUUCAAUCCAAGCUAUUGAGGGCUAUAAUCUGUCUUGAUUGGGCGUGAUUUAUGGUGUGGAUUAAUGAAUGAUUGACUUUCCAAUUCCAUAUCAAUUAAUAUACAUUUUUCAUAUUCUAGAGCUUCUAAUUUCAGGCCAAAUCUACCUUAAUUUUAGGUUUUUAUUAUUUAGAACGUUUUUUUAGCUAUUUUCCUAUUUUGGAUCUAUUAAUUUCAGACCAAAUCAACUUUUAUUUAGGGUUUUAAUAUUUAGUAAGUUUUUUUUUCAUGACAUAUAAAUAGCAUGCACUCAUUGUAAUAGGGGAUCGUUUUGAUUGAAUAAAAAAUCAGAAAAGGUAAGGUUUUGCUCUUCUUUUGGUUCUUCAAGAACUGUGAACUUAUCAGAGAUUCUUCCUUGUGGAGUUCAAACUUUAUACCUUCGGUUCGUGAUUCCAUUGUAAUCAUUGGGUCAAGGUCUGUUACUAAUACUUUUGGUUUGCGUUUCACUUAUAAACGUUGGGUCAGGGUUCUAUCAAAAAUCUGUAUUUUAGCUUUCUUGGGCAAUUAUUCCAAUACUGUUCGUUGGGUCUCAAAACGUGUCAAUUGAGGUUCACAUCAAAAGAGCAUGAGCUUCCUCUAGAAAAAUGCCUAUUUUUUCUUUCAACCACUUCAUUUUGUUGUGGGGUAUUAACACAUAUUAACUCAUGUAGAAUGUCUUCAUUCCUCAAGUAAUUUAUCAAUUCCUAAUUGAAAUAUUCUUUUCCAUUAUCAGAUCUCGGUGUUUGAAUUUUUGCUCCAAACUAAGCGUUAACAAUUUUUAGCCCCAAAAAAAAUUAAGGGCACUUCAACCUUGGACUUCAUGAGAUAAACCCAAGUGGUCUUAGUUAGUAUAAUUGUCUAUGAAAGUAACAAAUCAAUUAACACUAGAAAUAUUGAUAACACGGAAUGGACUCCAAAUAUCUUAAUGAAUUAAACUAAAUAUGUUACAUGUUACACGUUCACACAACUCUAAAGUGGUCCAACACCUUGACCAAGUCCUCCAUCAGAUCAUCUCACUUCCUUACAGUUUAGGAACAUAUUCCACAAACCACUGAUAAUGGUGGCAAAUGGAAAACAACGUGGUUUGAUGGGAAGCCACAACUUUAUAUAUCAGUUUUGGUCCCGAACUUGUCUCUCUGUUGUUUUCUUCGGUAAUACACCAUCUCAAAAGAGAGAUCAAAGCUUGGAAAAUCAAAGAUCUGCAACAACUAGUUAGUUCAAAAUUCAGAAACAAUGGUUGGAGGUAAGUAGCUGAUCCUAAAUCUUUUCAAAUUUGAUUCAUAUGGCAAAAGUUUCAUAUACUUUGGAUUAAAAGUAUUCAAUGUAUUUUUACAUUUGGUAUCAGAGCCACGAAUCUUACCUCUAUUUUGGUAUUGAUUUUUUAUGAGAUACUUUGUUACAUUUUCCGAUCUCUUAAAUCACUGCAUAAAUUGAAAUACCUUGCUUACUACCGGGAACAUAAAAAAACAAAAAAAAAACCCACCUGCCAAAUGUGUUUUCUUCAUUGACCAGAAAGUAAGAGAUAACAGCAUAUUCCACCAUAAUGCUCAAAAGUCUAAUUCUUAACAAACCCACUCAAAUUCAACCCAACAAACAACUUUUUCCGUUGACCCAAUAGUGGGAUUUCAUGAAACUUGUUGGUGCGCUCAAGCACAUCGGUCUUGGCCUUGGAAUGCCAAGAACGAUACUAGCGGAGCAGCUUCUCCUAGGCGAUUCUUACCACUUUCUGGCGGUCUUUGGUUGGUUCUGAAGUCUCUUGAGGGUUGGUAGACAGCGCCAGAAACUUGGGAAUUAAUUUCGGAUGAGGAAUGUUGGGGAUUGAAAACCUAUUCCAAGAAACGUCGCACUUCCAUCGAUGCUCUCCGCACUAGCUGUGACAUCGGUCGACGUCAAGGAAUACCCCAAUUCCUAUGUCUUCAUCAUCGACAUGUCAGGGCUGAAGUCCGGUGACAUCAAGGUGCAAAUGGGGGACAACAAUGUGCUGGUGAUCAACGCAUAAAAGAAGUGUUGCGCUUAGUUUCUAUGUGGUAUUGCCUAGUGAUGCAGGCGGUCGGAGGGCACCACAUGUGGCAAGGGCUCUUCCUACCUAUGUGAUGCAGGUGGUCCAAGGCUUGGACUACUGUCGGUGCUACCGAUAAAGAAGCAGUCUAUGCUGGUGGCGGAAAAAUAGGAUCAUGGGUUCGAUGUAGGUGAUAUUAAGAUGUUGAACCUAGAGAGAGAUUGGGUUUCCAGUGAAGCCCACUAAAGUCUUAGGCCAUGAGAUAAAUGAAAAAUUGGGCCAUGGAUAAAUGUGAAAGUUGGGCCAGUUUAGGCCCUUAUGGCUCGGUUUGAAAUAUUUUUGUUGGGCUUGGAAUUGGAUUGUGUUUUUAUUUUGGCGUGGGCACCCAAUCACAAUCUGAAAUCACUUUUACUUAAAAAAAAAUAAAAAAUUAAAUUAAUUAAAUUAUUAUGUUAUUUUUAUACAUGCAAAUUAAAUUAUUUUAUGCUAAUUUGUAUAUUGUAUGUAUAAAUUUGUAGCUUUAAUUGCAUGCAAUUGUUGCCUAAAUUUGUGUUAGAUAACUUAAAGUUAUAACAUAUAGUUUUAAUGUCUAGUGAAUCAUAUAAUUUUAAAUAAUUAAGGAAUAGCCACAACAUCCUUAAUUAAGUAGAUAAGGAUCACAUAAUGGACAUUAACUGUAAUUAAUUAUAUAAAUAUAAUGAUUUUACCCCAUAAGGAUUUCAUUAUGUUUAUAUAAUUAAUUAGGAUAAAAUGUUAAAAUCAAUUUUUCCUAAUUUACCCACAAGAGUUAGGAAGAAUUAAUUUAAUGGUUUAUCACAAAACUUAUAGAUAAAAGAUAUCAAACUAUAUUCAUAAUAAAUUUUAUAAAUUCAGUAAAAUAGUUUGAUAAAAUCUAUCAUAAAGAUAAUGAAUUUGAUUGAAUUAAAGAUUUAGCCCACAAGUAAUUUUUAAUAAAAUUAGAUUCAUUUUUAAGUAUGUUUUACAUUGGUAAAACAUGAAUUUAUUUAAAGCCUCAAAUAUUAAUAAGAUUGUAAUCUUUUUGUGUAGUUUUACCUAGCAUAUUUGAUAUUCGUUGUGAGGCUCCCGAACUCAAGGGAGAUAACUUUAAAUUAUGGAAGGAAAGAGUUCUUUUUCAAUUAGGGUGCAUGGAGAUAGACUAUGCCAUAAGGAAAUAUGAACCACAUAAGAUCAUUGAUACCAGCAUACUUGAUGAAAUUCUAUUGUACGAACGUUGGGAGAAAUCUAAUCGCCUUAGCGUGAUGUAUAUUAAGACAAAAAAUAGUGUUGGUAUACAUGGCUCAAUCGAGCAGCAUGAGAAUGUCCGCGAAUUGCUAAAGGCUAUUGACAAGCAAUUCAUCGCUUCAGAUAAAGCCUUGGCAAGAACCCUAAUUAAGAAGUUCACAUCCCUGAAGCUCACCGGUAUAAAAGGUGUACACAAACACAUCAUGGAAAUGAGGGACAUAGUGGCUCAAUUGAAGAAACUUGAGGUAGAAAUGUCUAAAUCCUUCUUGGUGCACUUAAUCCUUAACACUCUUCCGCCUCAGUAUGGACCUUUCAAAAUCUCUUACAAUACUCAUAAGGAUAAGUGGUCUAUCAAUAAAUUGAUGACCAUGUGUGUUCAAGAAAAAUGAAGGUUAAUGAUGGAGCAAGGAGAAAGUGUCAUGUUGGUGACAUAAAAGAAAUGAAAGAAAGGAAAAUCUUAAGCCAGUCAUAAAGGGAAGCAACAAAUUCCUCCCAAAUCUGACAUUAAGAAAGACGAAAAAGUGUUUCUUCUAUAAAAAGAAAUAACACGUGAAGAAGAAAUGUCUGAAAUUCCAUAAAUGGCUUGAAAAGAAAGGUAAUCCUACCUCAUUUGUUUGUUAUGAAUCUAAUAUGGUUAACGUAAAUACCAACACAUGGUCGAUUGAUUCUGGAUCUACAAUCCACAUUUCAAAUUCCUUGCAGGGUAUGCAAAACCUAAGGAAACCAAUGAGUAGUAAGCAAUUCAUCUUAUUCGGAAACAAGAUGGGCUCGCAUGUAAAGGCAAUAGGGACAUGUUAUUUAACUUUAAAUGGUGGUUUUGUUUUGGAAUUUCAAAUGGCCUUUUAUGUACCAAGUUUCUCACGAAACUUGAUUUCAGUUUCUAAACUUGUACCGUUUAGAUAUUCCUUUCAUUUUUCAGAAACAUCUUUCAAUUUGACUUAUAAAUCUGAUUGUGUUGGGAAUGGUAUUUUGUUUGAUGGUCUUUAUCGCAUAUUCUUACAAAAUGAUAUCACUUAUAAUUCAUUACAUGUCCAAACUGACAUUAAAAGAUGUGUUGUAAAUGAUGAUUCAUCUACAUUAUGGCACCGAAAAUUAGGUCAUAUCUCCAUAGAUAGAAUCAAAAGGUUGGUAAAUGAUAGGGUACUUAGUACUCUAAAUUUUACUGACUUUGAGACUUGUGUGGACUGCAUUAAGGGUAAGCAGACCAAUAAGUCAAAGAGAGGUGCUAUUAAGAGUUCCACCAUAUUAGAGAUCAUACAUACUGAUAUAAGUAGUCUAGACAUGGACUCUCAUGGUCAUAAAUAUUUCAUCUCUUUCAUAGAUGAUUUCUCACGAUACAUGUAUCUCUACAUACUUUACAACAAAAAUGAAGUAUUAGAUGCCUUCGAAGUUUUCAAGGCAGAAGUAGAGAAACAAUGUCGUAAACAAAUUAAUAUCAUGAAAUCAAAUAGAGGUGGAGAAAAUUAUGGUAGAUACUUGGAAGAUGGACAAGCACCUGGGCCAUUUGUGAAGUUUCUUCAAGAGCAUGUGAUUAUUGCCCAAUACACCAUGCUUGAUUCUCUAAACCAAAAUGGUGUAGCAGAAAGAAGAAACCGAACUUUAUUGGACAUGGUAAGGAGUAUGCUGAGCAACUCAAAACUUCCUAGACUCUUGUAGAUUGAAACACUUAAGACGGUAGUGUAUAUAUUAAACCGAGUUCCAACCAAGGUUGUCCCAAAGUCGCCAUUUGAGUUAUGAAAAUGUUGGAAAUCGAGUUUGCGACAUAUGUGCGUUUGGGGAUGCUCGUUUGAAGUGAGAAUUUAUAAUCCACAAGAGAAUAAACUGGACCCAAGGACUAUAAGUGGGUAUUUCAUUGGAUAUGCUAAAAAAUCUAAGGGGUACAGAUUUUAUUGUCCAUCUCACAACACUAGGAUUAUGGAAUCAAGAAAUGCUAAAUUUCUUGAAUAUGACUUGGUCAGUGGGAGCAAUCAAUUCAGAAACAUAGCUUUUGAUAUUGAUCAUACAGAGUCUCAACUUUCCACUUCAAAUGAUAGAUUGUUUGUUGUUCAUAACACCCCUCAAGUUCAAAUGGGUGCAGAACAAACAAUUGUUGAAGUUCAACUAGUCAUUGAAGUUCCACAAGCUGUUGGCAACAUUUCAGUAGAUCAAGUCGAUCAGGAGUUGCCUGACACUUUGAACAACAAGUUGAACCUCAUACUUCCCUAGAAGAUAAUGGUGCAACCUUAAGAAGGUCUACUCAAACUAAGAGGUUAGCAAUUCCUAGUGAUUAUGUAGUGUAUCUAUAAGAAUCUGACUAUAAUAUAAGAGCCGAAAAUGAUCCCAAAUUUUUUUCACAAGCCAUGAGUUGCAAAAAAUCAUAAUUGUCGUACAAAGCCAUGAAGAAUGAGAUGAGUUCCAUGAGGUGCAACGAUGUUUGGGACCUUAUUGAGUUGCCUAAUGGUGCAAAAGUCAUUGGUUGUAAAUGAGUUUUUAAGACAAAGAAAGACUCAUUAGGCAACAUUGAGAAAUACAAGGUCAAACUUGUUGCAAAGGGGUUCACUCAGAAAGAAGGAAUCGAUUACACAGAAACUAUUUCUCCUAUAUCUAAGAAAGAUUCCUUAUGCAUUAUAUUGGCAUUAAUAGCCCACUUUGAUUUGGAAUUGCAACAAAUGGAUGUGAAAACUGUAUUUCUUAAUGGAAAACUAGAGGAAGAGGUUUACAUUAAACAACCUAAAGGAUUCCCCUCUAGUGAUGGUGAGCAAUUGGUUUGCAAGCUUAAGAAAUCUAUAUAUGGUUUAAAACAAGCAUCCCGCCAAUGGUAUUUAAAAUUCCAUAACAUAAUUUCUUCAUUUGGUUUUGUAGAAAAUGUUAUAGAUCAAUGCAUAUACCUUAAGGUUAGUGGGAGUAAAGUUUGUUUUCUUGUUUUAUACAUGGAUGACAUCUUACUUGCAACCAAUGAUAAGGGUUUACUUCAUGAGGUGAAACAAUUCCUCUCUAAAAAUUUUGACAUGAAGGAUAUGGGUGAGGCAUCUUAUGUCAUUGGCAUUAAGAUUCAUAGAGACAGAUUUCAAGGUAUCUUAGGUCUGUCUCAAGAAACCUAUAUCAAUAAAGUUCUAGAAAGAUUUCGGAUGAAGGAUUGUUCACCUAGUGUUUCCCCUAUAGUGAAGGGUGAUCUAUUCAAUCUGAACCAAUGCUCGAAAAACGAUCUUAAGAAUGAACAGAUGAAGAACAUUCUAUAUGCUUUUGCAGUUGGAAGUCUAAUGUAUGCUCAGGUCUGCACAAGGCCUGACAUUGCAUUUGCUGUUAGAAUGUUAGGACGAUAUCAGAGUAACCCAGGUUUGGACCAUUGGAGAGCUGCAAAGAAAGUGAUGAGAUAUCGAACCAAAGAUUAUAAGUUUAUGUACAGACGAACAAGCAAUUUAGAGGUUGUUGGCUACUCAAAUUCAAACUUUGCUGGUUGUGUUGAUUCGCGUAAAGUAACAUCUGGAUGCAUUUCUAUAUUGGCGGGUGGAGCUAUAUCUUGGAGGAGCAUUAAGCAGACUUUGACUACUACUUCUACUAUGAAAGUUGAGUUCAUAUCUUGUUUUGAGGCUACUUUGCAUGGUGUAUAGCUUAAAAGUUUUAUAUCCGGGCUUAGAAUUAUGGAUUCAAUAUCUAGGCCAUUGAGUAUAUAUUGCGACAAUUCAGUUGUUGUCUUUAUGGCAAAGAACAAUAAAAAUGGAAGCCGAAGCAAAGCACAUCGACAUUAAGUAUCUAGUCAUAAGAGAACGUGUUAAAAAAAGAAAAUGGUUAUUGAGCACAUUAGCACUAAAUUGAUGAUCGCUUAUCCUUUGACUAAGGGUAUGCCACCGUUGAAAUUCAAGGAUCAUAUAGUGAACAUGUAACUUAGUUCCUUUAUGUAGUUUCUAUUGUAUAAACUCUUAUUAUGAUGUUUUCUCAUAUUGAUGUGCACCUUUAUUUAAUUUUGAGAAAAUUUAACUUUAUUGGACCAAGAAUGUACAUAGGGUUUAUUAUCUCCAUAACAUUAUACUUCGAUUGAACCGUUGCCCACCAUCGAGGCCAACUUGCCCUUUGAUAGAUAGUUUGCACCAAUAUAUCUAUAUUGUAUAUAUUAAAAGUUAUCAUAUAAACAAAAUAUUAAAACAAUACUUAAAAAUAAAUUAAUUAUAAUUAUUUUAUAAUUAAAUGAAAAAAGUUCAUUUAAUUGAUUAACAAAAAUAUAAAAAUUAUCAUGAUAAUUGUCUUUAUAGUGUUUUUAAUAUCAUUAAUAUAUUAAUUAAAUAUUAAAAAAUUAUACAUUUAUCAUCAUUUAUUUUAUAUCAUUUAAUACAAUUGAAUUAAAUGUAUCAUAAUUUUAAUAUUAAAUAUAUUUAAAAAUUAAACAUAUUAUAAUCAAAUAUCACAAUAUUAUUAUCGAAUAAUAUUUGAUGUGAUAUAAUAAUUAAUGUACACUUAUAAAAUAUCAAUUUCUUCAACAAAACAACUUUAAAAUAUCUAUUAUACUUUUAAUUUCAUAUUUAAGAGUUUUUUUCUUACAUUUUUAUAAGUUGUGAUUAAUUUUAAGUCCACCAAUAUUUUGUGUUAAAAUAUCCACAAAUAUAUUUCUAAUAUAUUUUGUAUAUCCGUAAAAUCGAAAUACUGAUAUAUUCACAAUUACUGAUAUUUUCAUCCUUGCUUUCAACAUAUAAUUUUAGUAUUAAAUUCUCAACACCAAAAUCCAGACUUUUUUGGCAUUGGAGGAAUUCUCAUACAUGCUUCUUAAAAUAUUUAGAAAUUAAAAUUAUAUACAAACAAAUAAAAAUAUUUAUUCAAAAUUUUCAAAAUAUAUAAGUAUAUAUGCCAUAUGGAAAUCUCAACUUUCUAUGUGAAUAAUGAUCAAUUAUUAUAUCAUAUAAAAGGAUUCUUGUGUAUUAACAACUAGAAUAUAAAAUAUUUUAAAAUAUCAUCUCUAACACAAGAAUAUUAAGUAUAAAUACCAUAAAGGUUACUAUGCCUUUAUGCAACCCAAAAUUUCACUUCUAUAUCCAGAUAUUUCUACCAAUGACUUUGCAUAGCUUUGAACUAUAAGAGUUCAAAAAAUUAUCAAUUACUUACCUAUUUUGUAUAACUUGAUAUAUAAAAUAUUAAUCUUUCAAUAAUGUGUAAAUAUUAUAUAUGUUUGUUAUCAUAGUUUCAAGCCAUGAAAUAUUUUUCUUAUAACUUUUUAUUAUAUGAAUUUUAUAAAGUUAUACAAAAUUGUUGGUUAACAAUUUUGUUCUCAAUCGUUUUUUGCUAUAAGAAAAUGCAUAGUAACGACUUUGACAUAUCCUUUACUAGUACAAAGAACAUUAAUUUUCUCAUUGUCAUAAUUUCAAGUUAUGAAUAAUAAUAAUUAUAUAGACUCUAACUAUAUGAAAAUUAUUUAUUAAUUUACUAACUUUUUUUGCAUAGCUUUGACUAUUGAUUAAAAUUUGAAUAAUGUUAUAGUAAUAUAAAGUGAUUGACAAUUAUGUUGUGAUACAACUUCUUAUUAUAAAACAUAAUUAGAAAUUGUCUCUAUAGUUUCUGGCUACAGAGUUGCUAAUUGAUAAUUUUGUUUUGUCUAACUUUUAGUUAUGCAUAAGAAUUAGAUAUGUUAUGCAUAGCUUCUUGUUAUGUAGUAACUAUCAAUAGAUAAUAUCUCCAUAACUUCUAAUUAUAUAACAAAUUAGAAAUUGUCUCUAUAACUUUUGGCUACAAAGUUGUUAAUUGACAAUUUUGUUUUACAUAGCUUCUAGUUAUAUAAAAAAAAUAGAAAGGAUUAAAUACAUUUUAUCCUCUUAAUCUUUAACAUAUUUUAUACUUUGCUCAUCAAAUUUGUUAAAGAGCAAUACUUAACCCUACAAUUACAGAACUUUCAUAAAAUUAUAAAAGGAUUUCUUUUUCUUUUUUUUCACACUUUGAUUCAAACGAUGGAUUGAACUUGGGGGUAAAAUCAACAUUAAAUUGGUAGCCUUAAAGUGGGAUUUUUCAAAUGUCUUCAAAAUAUGACAACUAGAAGUUUUGAUUUUUAAUUUUAUAAAGAUGUUUGUAUAUUUAUUCAUGAUUUUUGGAUGCAACUUUGAAAUAUGACAACUUUAAACUUAGAUAACAAGUAUUUUUCUUUACAUUUCAGGCCUUAUUUUUUUUUUAUUUAACAUGUUAUUCAUUGACUUUUUAAUAAAUUUAAGGGGUAAAAUGUUGUUCUUUGACAGAUUUAAGGGGUAAAGAGUUGAGCUUUGAAUAUGAGGGGGCAAACUAUAAAACACACGAAAGGUUGAGGGAUAAAGUGUAUUUAACCCAACUAGAAAUUGUGUGUAAAGCUUUUACCCAUGAAAUAAUUAUCAAUAGAGAUUGUUUUCGCAACUUUUAUUUAUGAAAAAAUUUUCUAUAUAGUUUUUUGCCAUUAAAAAAAUUAAAAUAUCAAUGAUUACACAUAUUUUCAUUAUUAUUAUUAUUGUUAUUAUGAUCAUCAUCACCAUCAUCAUUAUUAUUAUUUUAAAAAAUAAUCACUUUUCUUAACCAAACAUAUUUUCAAGAAAGGAAAAACAAAAAAUAAAAACUGAAUGAAAAUAGAAAAGUAAAACUAAAAAAAUAUUUUUCUAACCAAACACAACCUAAUUAUUAAAAUUAAUUUUUGAAAUAUUAAAGUAUUGAUAUUCUACAUUUAAAAAAUUACUAUAAUAAUUUUAAUUAUAUUUAUUAAUAUAAUAAAAUAUCAUUGCAAAAUAUAUUUUAUAUAUGUAAAUAUUAUUUAUUGAUUAAUGUCAUAUUAUGAAUUAUUAGUAUAUUAUAUUAUUUUAUACAUUAUUUGAAUUCAUUAAAUUAUUUGUAAAAUGUUUAAAGGAAAUAACUCUCAAAUUACUAUUAUUUUAAUAAUGAAUAUAUAUAGAAAACUCACAAAUUUAAUUUAAAUUAUUUUAUUAAAUAUGAUAAAAAAUAAUAAUAAUUUAUAAAAAUUUUAUGCAUUUUAAAAAAUAAAAUUCAAUUUUUAUAAUAACUUAUUCAUUUUUGAAGUUUUAUUUCUUCUAGCCAACUUCACCUAUACCAUAUGCUGGCAUGGUUUUAACAUUUAUAUUAAUGACUUAACUUUAACAUUUUUAUUAAAAAAAAAAAAAAAAAGUCAUUCAAUGACACCAAUUUAAAGGAUAUGAUAUGAACUUAAUUAAUAAUUAAAAUUAAUUUCUAAAUAUUAAAUAAUCUAAUAUCUAAGUUACAAUAAUAAACAAUUUAAUUAAAAAUGAUUAAAUAAAUAUUUAAAUGAUUAUAAAAAACAAAUACAUUAAAGUGAAAUAUUUGAAAAUAAUUAUACAUGGAUGCAACUUUACCUACUCCAAUGACAAAGCUAGGAAAGAGAGGGGCGUGCAACUUCACCAACUCUAAUGACAAAGGUAGGAAAUAGUGGGGUGGGGGAAGUGAAGGGGAAAUAUAAGAAUAUAUUUCAACCUUGGCAUGGAUGAAGCGACUUGUCAUGUAGUGUAAUAAUGAAUGAGUGUUUUUCCCUUUUCUUUGGUAAGGAGUUCAAAAUGAAUAAUACUAAUUAGAGAUUAUUCUUUCUCAAUCCAACGGUUGAGGUUGAUUUUCAACCAUUCAAUCCAACCGUAAAGAUGGGAUGUAAGUAGAGAACAAAAAUUGAGUACCAUAUUCAAUUCAAUGAGACAUUCUUAACUCAACAACGAAACUUCAUGGGCUUAAUUGCUUACUUCAACUGAUGGCCUUCCCAAUAGCCUCAUUCCAUUCCAUUCCAUUCCAAACCACUCUCUCAAUUCUUAACCACUAAGGAUCUAGGUGCCACGUAUGAUAAAAUGUCAAAUAAAAUAAUCCUUUUUAUGAUUUCCAUUCCAAAUUUCAUAUUCUCAUUCUCCAUAAAAACCUAAUUAAUAAUAAUGACAGCAAGAUUGUCAUCAUUAUUAUUAUUAUCGUUUCAGAUUAUGCCUUGGAGACAGGUGGAUGGAGCGUGGGGACAAAAGCCUUGUGAAAAUGCUUCAUUGACAAACGAGUCUCGAAGAUUCUAGAUUUUACUUGUCCCACAAACCAUUGACGGAAAAUUUUCAACGUUGUCGAGUAUUUUAAGUCUAUGUUAUAGUUAGUCUUAGUUAAUUUAUGAUAGUUGGGCGGUUGCGGCGGAAGGGGCAAACUUCCAAGACGCGUGAUUCAGACGGCAGAGCAACAGCACCAUUCCUCGACAACGGAAGCCCAUAUCCAUUCUUAUUUCUUAAAAUUAGAAAAUUAGCCCCGGACACGGCGUCACCAGAGCUACUUUUCUCCUUCUUACAUAUAUAAAAAAAACACCCAACUCCACCUUCAUCUCACAGAUUCAUCUAAGCUCCCUCUCUCUCUCUCUCUCUCUCUCUCUCAGAAGACAUUCUCUUGACAUCUUUGCAAAGUAAUUCAAGAGCAGGUAAAAGAUGGAGAGAAACGGCUCCUCAUGGGCUGAACAAUGGGACAACAACCCUGAGAAAGAGACGGGCGGUGGCGAUGGUGGUAGGAAAGCCAAAUACUCCAAGAAAUUAGGAGAGGGCUUUGCUAAGACCAAAGCUGCUGCUUCAACUGGAAUGAAGAAAGUUAAGGGAGGGGCUUCUGUGGGGCUCCACUGGAUCAAAGACAAGUAUCACAAGACCACCAACAAGCAGUAAACCCCUUUUCUAUGGAAGCCACAGCUCCUCUCAUAUGAUCUCCCCAUAUUUGUAUUCUAUUAUACAACAAUUUUUUCUUGAUUUUAUUACCGAUUACUAUUAUUUUGGCGUUCGAAAAUUUCUGUGGAUUUUGAUGUAUAUUGUUUUAUGAGGCUUUCAAGUUCUUCGUGUAAAUUCCUUUGUUUAUGAGUAAAGUUCAUUCAUGGGUAUAUUUUGAGUAAUUUGAAUCACCUUUACCUUUAAUCAGUCUUCCCCUUCAUAUUCUAUUUUUCCAGUCAGAUCAAGGGAUUGUCUUUUCUUGUUUGCGUUUGGCAGAAAUUAAAAGAGAUUGAUAAACGAUAUAGCUGUCAUCUAUAGUCGAUUAAAAAGAAUGGCAUGCUGUUUUAGAAGGUUAGUACUCAAUGGAAAAGUCAUCUGGGCAAGCCAGCCAUUUUUCUUCCAAAGGAAAACCAACUGAUCAUGAGAGUUACGUCAGGACGCAGGAAGCAGGAAGCAU